CAAGGAUGUUGAGUUUGCCAUCAAAAAGUGAUGAGACCUUGUUUAUAAGCUCCUCUCUUUGGGUUUUUGACACCACAUCACAGACUGAGCCAGUGACUUGAAAACCCUUCUUCUCCCACUGACUCAGGCAGUCAUUAAGGUCAACUUCAUUUCGGGAACAAGUAUGCACAAUUGCACCCAGCCCUGCCAAUUCCUCCACUAUCGCAUACCUAAAUAAAACUUUACUAAUUUAACAUAGAGCAAUACAAAAUAAUUCAAACCCAUAAUUCUAAAACAGAAGAAAACACGGGACAAGUGGAGAAAUAAAGAGAAUAUUGCAUUGGAUGUAUAGGAAAAUUAAAACUAACAGAAGAUUAAUGUUCUUAAGUAUCCAAAUUUAGAGAAGCUAACCCAAUUCCUUUGGUUCCACCGGUGACAAGAGCUGUCAUUCCACGUAGAGACCAUGUCCUCUCUCUGCUAUUCAUCUCUAUCUGCUCUCUAAUCUUCCUGUCUGCUCUCUAAUCUAUCUUUAUGCAAAUACUUUGUGGUUUCGGUUAUAUUUCUUUUCGAUAGGAUAACUAUUGUAUAUUUUGGCGGCCAGGGAAAGGUACGCGUGCCAUCUGUUCAUUCAGCAACUUGCAACAUUUUGGUUGCUUGUUUUGACGUGGCAAACUAAUGCAAAUUGAUUGUCCAAUUUGAAUUUGACUAAAUUAUAUUUCAUCCAAUUUCAACAUCUUACAAUGACUGUCUAUUUCAUACAACUUUCGAUUCAAUCGUUACACAGUGAUUCAAUAAUUCAGGACGAAUUCUAAUCUCAUAUUCUAUAAAGCUCGUUUUGAAUUUGAUUCGUGACACCGAUGAAUUAUACACUAUAAAGAAUUGAAGUUUAAAGAACACUAUUUCAACAAACUUUUGGAACUAGAAAGCAAAGAUACUUUUGGAGCUAGAAACAAAUGGAAGGUAUUACGGUUCGUCCUGAACGAGAUCGAUGUCUUUUCGGUUAAUUUUUCAGCAAAUAGACAUGUCAUUGAGAGUAUUGUUUAAACCCAUAAACAUUUUGAACUAUUUUUACUUAACAUCAUCAUAUUUAAAAGGGCUUUAGUUAUUUCACUAGCACUUUCAAUUGGAAACCGCCCCCUGUAACAAGCUAGACAUAUGAAGUUAUGAGAAUACUUAAAGAGCAAGUCGUCCAAAUCAUCUUUAGGUAAUCUUUGGAGGGGUCAGUUGAUGUUGCUUAAAGAGUUUUUGUAACAUUUCUCGUCUAAGUUCACCUCAGUACUUAAGUUUAAUUAUUUUUUAAUCUUUAAUUGUACGAAAAGAAAAAAAAGGGACAUAUAACAUGAAUGUAGGGUCAUCAUAUCAACUAAAAAAGCUUCAUUGGAGUAUUUCGUCGAGCACCUAGUAGGCACCUACCAAUUCCUGCCAACAUAUACCGAAAGCUUAUGCUAACGUAUGUCGACAACUAUUAUUAUUGUAGAGGCUUGUCAAUGGUGGAUGCAAGAUGCCGUGGAGUAAUGUUGAAGAUUGUUAAGACUUGUCAACUAAGGUAUUUCAUUGAGCACAUGGUGGUCACAAUAGAAUCACACAAGAGGAGAGAAAGAAGACAAAUGUGAUAGAAUAAAGUAGAAGAAGUAGGAGGAGGAGGUUGUAAAUUUCGUUUGCCUUAGUUGUUUAUAGGGGUCAAAUAUAAUACGCAAACAAAUAUACAUGAAGGUUUUUAACUUGUUGGGUCAAGAGCAACCAAUGAUCUUAUGCUGACUUUGUCACUGAUAAUAAGAUCCCUGUCUUAAUUUUUUGCUAAGAACAUAAAAAAUCUUGUAUCGUUGAGUAUUGAUAGGAACAUGUCAUCAGCCUUGUUGUAUCUUUGAGGGGCCAAGGAAAAAGAUGAUGUGCAAUGCUUCUUGAGGAGUUUUGUUGUUUCUCAAUAAAAUCUAGUCAUUUGAAUUUCUUGCUUCUAGUACUACCUAAUGCUUGAAGUUUGAACAUGUUAUAGAAGCAUUUUUUAUUGUUUUGAUCAUACAUACAUGUCGAUCAUUUUCAAUGAACUGGCGAUUUCGGUGGUGCUCUUUGAGAUGUUGGAGUCUUCUCUUCAUCAGGUUUGGCGUGAUCUCAGGCGUUUGUUGGUGGCGUUCUAGCGGCGGCGAAGGGUAGCAAGUUGCUAGGGUUUGUUGCGGUUUUUUUCUUUUGGGUGGUCUCAAACUUUUGUUUUGGGCCAUUUUUGCUUUACUCUGGAGGCCUACAUCUAUGUUGUGUGCUUAUUGUGAUUGAGCUUCUUUCUUUGUAAUUAUGUUGUCUUGAUAAUAAUUUUAUCCUUUAAAUAAACAACAAAAAAAAAUUUUCCAAACUUGGAAGCUCUUCUACUAGAGUGAAACGAAAUGUCAAUAGACCGAAUGGUUGGCAAUCUUUUAUUUACAUAUUAAAUUAUAAAUUAAUGUCACCUAUUUUCACAUACAAUUAAAGCACACCACUUUAGAAUUAGAUACGAGAUUUUAUUUUUCCAGACCUGCAGCACUGUCUCUACGACUGCAUAUGCAAUUAUGUAUCCAUGCAGAACUGUUUCCAAGUCAUGCUCCUUGGAAGAGCAAGCCAUUGACGGUCACCCCGCCGUCGACGAUAAUAGUCUGCCCAGUAAUGUAAGAGGCUGCAGGUAGACAUAGAAAUGCUACCAAGGAAGACACCUCCUCUGGCUCUCCAGGACGUCCUAAAGGGCACCGAGAGUUUAUCAUCUCCAAUUUCUUUUCAUUUCGGAGAAACUGCAUGCAAAGAAGAGAUAAUAGAUGAAAAGAGAAUGGAUGUGUAGGACACAUGUAUUAGCGACGAUCUUAAUAAUUGGUCAAGUUAUUCGUAAACAAAUUAAUUAAGAUUAGAAGUAUGAUCUAAACUUGCUGUAAACAAGUCAGGUCUAAGAACCUAUACAUGAAUAAACAAGACAUAUGGACUUUUGGCAAAACCCAACUUUUUAUUCUAAUUUCAAUUAUGGGCUUUUGGCAGAAUCAUCAACGAAAUACGAAUUGGCUUGAAAUUAUGAGAUGAUUGUAAAUAUAAGAUGUUAAAAGAAUUCACUCAUGUAUCUUAUAUGUAGUUUUGAUUUUCCUGCCGCAACAUCGAUUGUAUUUAAAAAUAAAUAAAAAUAAAAUGCAUGCACAAGAACGUGAUCCGAAUAAUCUUACAGGUUCAGCGAGGGGAGUCGUGAUGAACCAAGGUGCCACACUGUUGGUCCUUAUGUUAUCCUUCGCCCACUCACAUGCUAAGUUUUUUGCUAACUGAUUCAUUGCACCUGAGAUACAGUAAAGAAAAGCCACACUUUGGUCUAACAUUAAAAAUCACACACCAAAAACAGCGUAAUCAAAUUUUAGGUUAGUCUAAAAGUGAUAUAAACAAUAUAUGAUACUUUUAAAUUUUUUAAUCUGAUGUAAGGUGUUAGUCUAAAAGUGAUAUAUUUUUUUCAAAGAAUUGAAUGAAUUUUUAACUAAUUAUAAACAAUAUAUGAUACUUUUCAAUUUUUAAUAAAAGUCGGAAAUCUAUAUAAGGAUUAACUAUAAGCACCUUUAGUGGCAGAAUAUAUAGAUUCACCAUCUAUUGAGACCACACCAGCAGUAGAGGACAAAAAAACAAUGCUAGCAGCUCCUGCAGCUUUGAGAAGAGGAUGUGAAAGCUGGCAAAAGUUGUAAGCAGAUUCAAGAUUGGUACUCAUUAUGAAUGAGUAAUCUUCAGCUGUGUACUCUAGCGUUGCUUUCGUCAAGCUAGUCCCCACAUUGUUUAUCUAUAACAAGACAUUAUUGUAAAGGUUUAGCAUAACAUAACGAUUUUAGCUUAUAUGUAUUAUUGAAAAAUGCAUGAAAAUUAUGUGUAUUAAACGUAAAAAGUACAUAUAUACGUGUACACAUUUUUGAGUUUUAAAAAACUUACAAUCUUACAAAUUAUUGAAUUUUGAAAUGUGUACAACAGAGUUAUUUACGAGAGGAUGUUUAGUUUGUCUUGAAAGUGUGAUGAUGAUUCAUGAUUCAUCCACAUAUCUUAUUUCGUCCUGGUUUGGUACUGAGGUGAUUCUGAAAAAAGUAGAUAUCAAAAAAAGUUCCCAGCUUUUUUAUGUUUGGUAAACAUUCAGCUUCAACUUUUUUUCACAGUUUUGGGUGAAAAAAAACCAAAAACACAAAGCUGCAAAACCUAGCUUUGAAAAACCAGUUUUUUUUUCACAUCUGUUUUACAUAAAAGUUUAUCAAACACUAUAAUAUUGUUUUUUUUUUUAAAAGUACUUUUACAAAAAAGUUUACCAAACACUCUACUGCUUUAUUUUACAGUUGCUUAUUCUCACAGCAUAGCAGAAACAAUUUUUUUCAAAACACAACAAUACCAAACCAGCCCUUCAACUGAUCAAUCUUUACUUACAAGGAUGUUGAGUUUGCCAUCAAAAAGUGAUGAGACCUUGUUUAUAAGCUCCUCUCUUUGGGUUUUUGACACCACAUCACAGACUGAGCCUGUGACUUGAAAACCCUUCUUCUCCCACUGACUCUGGCAGUCAUUAAGGUCAACUUCUUUCGGGAACAAGUAUGCACAAUUGCACCCAGCCCUGCCAAUUCCUCCACUAUCGCAUACCUAAAUAAAACUUUACUAAUUUAACAUAGAGCAAUACAAAAUAAUUCAAACCCAUAAUUCUAAAACAGAAGAAAACAUGGGACAAGUGGAGAAAUAAAGAGAAUAUUGCAUUGGAUGUAUAGGAAAAUUGAAACUAAAAGAAGAUUAAUGUUCUUAAGUAUCCAAAUAUAGAAGCUAACCCAAUUCCUUUGGUUCCACCGGUGACAAGAGCUGUCAUUCCACGAAGAGACCAUCUCCUCUCUCUGCUAUUCAUCUCUAUCUGCUCUCUAAUCUAUCUUUAUGCAAAUACUUUGUGGUUUUUAUUAUAUUUCUUUUCGAUAGGAUAACUAUUGUAUAUUUUGGCGGCCAGGGAAAAGUACGCGUGCCAUCUAUUCAUUCAGCAACUUGCAACAUUUUGUUUGCUUGUUUUGGCGUGGCAAACUAUGCAAAUUGAUUGUCCAAUUUGAAUUUGACUAAAUUAUAUUUCAUCCAAUUUCAACAUCGUUCAAUGACUUUCUAUUUCAUACAACUUUCGAUUCAAUCGUUCAAUAGUUCAGUACGAAUUCUAAACUCGUAUUCUAUAAAGCUCGUUUUGAAAACUUGAUUCGUGACACUAAUGAAUUAUACACUAUAAAGAAUCAAAGUUUAAAGAACACUAUUUCAACAAACUUUUGGAACUAGAAAGCAAAGAUACUUUUGGAGCUAGAAAACAAAAGGAAGGUAUUACGGUUCGUCCUGAACGAGAUCGAUGUCUUUUUGGUUAAUUUUUCAGCAAAUAGACAUAUCAUUGAGAGUAUUGUUUAUAGGCAUACAAUUCUUCUUGCUCCACAUUUUUUAAGGUUAAAUUACAUUUUACCCCAUCAAGUAUGGUAUAAAUUACAACCUUAUACAACAUCUUUAAAACAUUUCAAUUUCAUACAUUUAAUUAUAUUUUAUUUUCAGUUUUAUACAUCCGUUAAAAUAUCUGUUAAGUCAACCGUUACAUGAUAAUGUGGUAAAUGAUGACAUGAUUCUCAACUUUGCACCAUGUGAAUAAGAAAAUAAUAAAAAAGGAUUAUUUAAUAAAAAAUCAAUUUAUAUUAUAAUUAAAAACAAACAAAAAUUGAAAAGGGCAUCUGGGCAAUCACCCUCUUCCUCCUCCAGCACCACCACCAACGCACCUACGAAACCCUAGCCGUAAAGAGAAACGCGCACAGCUUCCAUCUCUCUAUCGGCAUAGCCCCAUGUACGAUCAGCCAUGGGCAAAUUUCACGGAUCGUUCGCACAUGCCCUUAUCCAUUCACGCAAGGACCUGCAACCAGAUAUCGACCCGCUACUGAAACCCAGACCAUAAAUCUGAUUGAAGCCCAAACCACUGCCGCACCUGAUCGAUUCUGAACCACGAAUCUGUUCUGAACCACCGCUACGAUAUUAGACCCGAUGAACCACAAAGAGCUGCCAUUUGAUUGUCGCGAUGACCUCUGCCGCAAUCUGUUUGAACCACCGCACCGCGCCCAGACCCCUGCAUCCACAAGCCCGACCUGCUUGCCUCGAGCAGAUGUAACCAAAAAAGCCGGUACCCUUACCAUAUUUGUACUGCACCUGCAUCCACUAGCACCGUCUAGCGCCUGUAUCAAGCCAAAUCCUCAUUUAUUUUCUAUUUUCGUGGUGAAAGGGGGCUUCAAGCCCAGAUCCUAUUUCGUCAAUUUUAAAUGGAGUUGAAAUGAAAUUUUCAAAAUCUUUACAAUUUUUUAAAUUUGCAAAUCAAAGGAAUUCAUAAAAUGAACACAAUUUCAUCAAUUUGGAGCUUUUGAAGUUGUUAAGGGUUGAAGAGGAGGAGGAAAACGAGUUUGGAGAAAGAAAGGCGGCGAGGUUGCUCGAGAAGAUGUAGGGUGGGGUGGGGGGGGAGGUUGCGGGGGAGGUGGGGGGUGGGGCGGGAAGGGUGGGUUUGGGUUGCGGGGAAGGGGAAGGGGGGCGGUUGCGGGUGGUUUUUUUGGAUGGGAGGGUAGGUGAAGAGAGUCGAGGAGAGGAAGAAGGUAGGUGGGGAAGAUGGGUUUCAGUUUUUUUUUUAUUUUUUAAGUGUAAAUUAUUAUAUUUUAAAUGCAUAAAAAAUUAAUUUGUUUGUCAUGGCAUAAAUUUAGCAAUCAUGUCAGCAUAAAUGUAGAUCUCAUAUUUGUCACGUCAUCAUUUAAUUGUAUAUAUGAAAUUGAUAUAAAAUGAUAAGUAGAUGCAUGAAAUUAAAAUGUUUGUAAGAUAACAAUAUAUAUGAAAUUGAAAUAAAAUGAUAAGUAAAUGUAUGAAAUUAAAAUAUUUUAAAAAUAUUGUAAGAAGUUACAAUCGAUCUCAAACUUAAAGAGAUAAAAUGUAAUUUUUUUUUUUAAUGCAAUCUUGUUAAGGGUCACAGAAUGAGUUAAAUAUUCCCACGACUAUACGUAAGAAUCUCGGUCUGAUGGGAUGAAAAUAUGGCUCCCUUUGAAAGUAUUUUUUUUUUUUUUUUACAUUGCGUAGCAUGUUUGUCUUCCGCAAAACACUUCCAAGUAUCUUUUAAACCAAAAACAUUUUAAACUAUUUUUACUUAACAUUAUCAUGUCUCUGCAAUUGCUUUAGUUAUUUAAACAGCAUUUCGAAUUGGAAACAGGCUCUACAACAAGCUAGACAUAUGAAGUUCUGAGAAUAGUUGAUAAGCAAGUUGUCCAAACCAUAUUUAUGUAAUCUUUGGAGGGUUCAGUUUAAAGCAUUUUUCUGACAUCUAUCAUCUAAGUUCACCUCACCACUUAAAUUAAUUAUUUUUUAAUUUUUAAUUGAACGAAAAGUAAAAAAGGGGCAUAUUACAUGAAACGUAAUAAGAUUCCUAUCUAAUUUUUUUUCCAAGAACCAAAAAAAAAAUUACUUGUAUCGUUGAGCAUUGAUAGAGAUAUGCCGUCCAGUAAUCCAGAAAAUUAAUUUUAUGAUCAGCCAUGUAAGGAAAACGAUGAUGUGCAAUGCUUCUUGAGGAGUUUUGUUGCUUCUCAAUAAAAUCUAUUUAUUUGAAUUUCCUGCUUCUACUACUACCUAUUGCUUGAAGUUUGCAUAGAUUAUAGAAGCAUUUUUUAUUGUUCUAAUCAUACAUGUCGAUCAUUUCCAAUUAACUGGCGAUCUUGGUGGUGUUGUUUGGAGGAUGUCGCAAUCUUCUCUCCAUCCAGUUUGGGGGUUGUGUUUAGCCGAUCUCAGGCGUCUGUUGGGAACGAUGGUUUGAGAUGGUGGGUUGGUGGCGUUUUGGCAGUGGAGUAGCAAGUUGCUAGGAUUUGUUGCGGUUUUUUUGUGCUCAAACCUUUGUUUUGGGCCAUUUUUGCUUUUACUUUGAAGGUUGAGUUGAAUAUCAGAGUGCGCAACGAACAAGACUAACAAGAAUAAUAAGAAUAUUAUUAAACUAACUGAUAAUGCCGGAACGGCUACAAAACCCUAAGAGACUAAUAACUUGUUAUUUCUAUAGAGUUACAAAGUACCAUAUAUAUAGAAAAGUAAUCUAACCCUAAUAGACAAGAAAACGAAACCCUAAUUCUAACGGGCUAAGCCCAAAAUACCAAACAUUAAAAUAAAUCUAAAUAAUAAUAUUUUCCAAGACCCCCGUCAAACUCAUGGCGGUACACGACAUGAGUUUGCUAAAAUAGAUGUGGAUGCAAGACUUCAAAUUCCAGUGCUAAUGCCGAUGUCGAUGGCAAUGCUAAUGUCGAUGUCGAUGCCGAUUUCCAAUGCCAAAUUCCAAUACCAUGCCCAAUGCCAAGUUCCAAUACCAUACCCAAUGCAAGAAUACACGGGCAACAAAACCUCAAAACAACCAAAUUUUUUUUUCCUUCCUUCUCCCCCCCCCCCCUUUUUGUUUUCCUUCCUUCGUCCUUCCUUUUUUUUCUUAUGUGCGAACCAACCAGCAACAUCAGCCUUUCUUUUUUUUUUUUUUCACAGGUGUACGGUUGUGGACGGAUCCAGAUGCAAGGUGGGGCUGGGGAAUGCAGAAAUCCUAGUGCGAUGAAGCAUUUUCAAAUUUGGGUGUGAGACAAAUUCACCAAAUUCUUUUUUUUUUCAAAAACAGAAUUUUUUUUCCUUUCUUGAAGACUACCAAGGACAAACUGAAAACCAAACCAGAAAACGUAAAAAAUCUACGAAUGGAAACUGGAAAGAAAUAAAACUGAUACGAACAAACAGAAGUAGAUUAGAUCCCGAAGAAUCAAACAUGCUCUAAAACCAAGUUGAAUAUCAGAGUGCAACAAGACUAACAAGAAUAAUAGGAAUAUUAUUAAAUUAACUGAGAAUGCAGGAACGGCUACAAAACCUAAGAGACUACAUUGUGAAUAAUUUGUUAUUUCUAUAGUGUUACAAAAUACCAUAUAUAUAGAAAAGUAAUCUAACCCUAAUAGGCAAGGAAACGAAACCCUAAUACUAACGGGUUAAGCUCAAAAUAUCAAAUAUUAAAAUAAAUCUAAAUAAUAAUAUUUUCCAACCGGUUCAUAUUUGCGUUGUGUGCUUAUUGUAAUUGAAUUUCUUUCUUUGUAAUUUUGUUGUCUUGGUAAAAAUUUUACUCUAAAAAAAAUCGAGGCUUGAAAGCUCUUCCAAUAGAGCGCUACUAAAUGUCAAUAGACCAAAUGUUUGGCAAUCUUUUAUUUUCUUAUUUAAUUAGAACAUUAAUGAUGUCACCUAUUUGCACAUACAAUAAAAGCACACCACUUUGGAAUUAUUAAAUACGAGAUUUUUUUUUAGAACUGUUUCCAAGUUAUGCUCCUUGGAAGAGCAAGCCAUUGACGGUCACCCCGCCGUCGACGAUAAUAGUCUGCCCAGUAAUGUAAGAGGCUGCAGGUAGGCAUAGAAAUGCUACCAAGGAAGACACCUCCUCUGGCUCUCCAGGACGUCCUAAAGGGCACCGAGAGUUUAUCAUCUCCAAUUUCUUUUCAUUUCGGAGAAUCUGCAUGCAUAGAAGAGAUAAUGGAUGAAAAGAGAAUGGAUGUGUAGGACACAUAUAUUAGCGACCAUCUUAGUAAUUGGUCAAGCCCUUCGUAAACAAAUUAAUUAAGACUAGAAGUAUCAUCUAAACUUGCUGUAAACUUUUCACCCAGAAACUUGCUGUAAACAUGUCAGGUCUAAGAACCUAUACAUGAAUAAAAACAAAAGACAUAUGGACUUUUGGCAAAACCCAACUUUUUAUUCCAAUUUCGACUAUGGACUUUUAGCAGACUAAUAAAUGAAAUACGGAUUGGCCUGAAGUUAUGAGAUGAUUGUAAUAUGAUGUGUGAUAUUCACAUACUUUUUUUUACUUCUUACACAUCAUUUUAAUUUGCGACCGUCGAAUCGGAUAAAUUAAAAAAAGAUUAAAGAACAUAAAUCCAUAAGAGGUGUGUUGAUAGCACACCCCUUGUAAUAUAAGAAGUUCAAAGAAUUCACUCAUGUAUCUUAAAUGCGGUUUUGAUUUUCCUGCAGCAACAUCUGUUGUAUUUAAAAAAAGGAAAAUAAAAGGCAUGCACAAGAACGUGAUUAGAAUAAUCUUACAGGAUCAGUGAGGGGAGUCUUGAUGAACCAAGGUGCCACACUGUUGGUCCUUAUGUUAUCUCUCGCCCACUCACAUGCUAAGUUUUUUGCUAACUGAUUUAGUGCACCUGAGAUACAAUAAGAAAAGCCACACUUUGGUCUAACAUUUAAAAUCACACACCAAAAAUAUUGUAAUCAAAUUUUAGGUGCUUCUCAUCUCAACCUCUUUUGAAACUAGCCACUCCUCUUUUCUCCUCUUACCAAACCCUGAAUUUUCAAACUCCAUAGUUGCCGGCCUCUUGAUUCGACUGGAGGCCGAUGGCAAUCCCUCUCCCCAUUUUUCUAGCCUCUCUUCUUUAUCUUUUCAUAGAUUGUUGCUUAUUUAUUUACGUCUUAGUAUUUUUAUUAAUAAGUGUCUUUUUGGUGAGAUUUUUUGUGGGUAUUUCUUAAUGAGUGUUUUAAGUUGAUAUGGGUGCAGACCCUUUAAGGGAAGAGAUCCCUAUUUAAAAAAAAAAUGGGGCUCCCUCUUGACCAUUAUAUCUGACUUUAAUGAAAUUCUGUGGUUGAGAUUAAAUCACAGGCCACAGAAUUUCAUUAAAGUUAAAUCUAACGGUUAAGAGGGUGUCCCUAUUUUUUUUUUUGGAAAAUAGGGAUCCCUUCCCUUAAAGGCUUUCUAUAUAGGUGGGUAUCGGCUCAUUUUGUGUCUACUUUUUUGGAGUUGGUUUGCUGCAUGUCUUGCGCACAAAGUUCAUGUUGCGCACAAAAUUAGUUUUUAAUCUUAUAUAAAGUAUUAGUCUAAAAGUGAAUUUUUUAAGGAUUUGAAUGAAGUUUUUUUUUUUUAAAUUUUUUAAUUUACAAAUUAUAAACAAUAUAUGUUUAUUUUUUUUAUUUUUAUAAAGGUCAAAAUUAUAAAAGGAAAUUAACUAUAAGCACCUUUAGUGGCAGAAUAUAUAGAUCCAACAUCAAUUGAGACCACACCAGCAGUAGAGGACAAAAAAAUGAUGUUAGCAGCUCCUGAAGCUUUGAGAAGAGGAUGUGAAAGUUGGCACAAGUGGUAAACAGAUUCAAGAUUGGUACUCAUUACGAAUGAGUAGUCUUCAGCUGUGUACUCUAGCGUUGCUUUCAGUAUGCUAGUCCCCACAUUGUUUAUCUAUAACAAGAUAUUACUGGAAAGGUUUAGCAUAACAUAACGUUUUAGCUUGUAUGUAUUAUUGAAAAAAGCAUGAAAAUUACGUGUAUCAAUUGUAAAAAAUACAUACGUAAGUGUACAUCUUUGAGUUAAAAAAAAGUACAAUUUUACGAAUUAUUAAAACGUUUAUAGCAAACAGAAAUAUUUACGAGGAUGUUUAGUUUGUUAUGAAAACGUGAUGAUGAUUAAUGAUUCAUGCAUAUAUGUUAUUUCAAUUGAUCAGUCUACUACUUACAAGGAUGUUAAGUUUGCCUUCAAAAAGUGAUGAGACCUUAUUUAUAAGCUCCUCUCUUUGGGUUUUAGACACCACAUCACAGACUGAGCCAGUUACUUGGAAACCCUUCUUCUCCCACUGACUCAGGCAGUCAUUAAGGUCAGCUUCAUUUCGGGAACAAGUAUGCACAAUUGCACCCAGCCCUGCCAAUUCCUCCACUAUAGCAUACCUAAAUAAACACUUCACUAAUUUAGCAUAGAAUUGUAAAAAAUAAUUCAAACCCAUAAUUCUGAAACAGAAAAAAACAAGGGACAAUUGGACGGAUAAAGAGAAUAUUGUAUUGCGUGUUUAAGAAAAAUUGAAACUAAAAAAAAGAUUAACGUUCUUAAUUAUCCAACUUUAGAGAAGCUAACCCAAUUCCUUUGGUUCCACCAGUGACAAGAGCUGUCAUUCCACGAAGAGACCAUCUCCUCGCUCUGCUAUUCAUCUCUAUCUGCUCUCUAUUCUCCCUGUCUGCUCUCUGCAAAUACUUAGUGGUUUAUAUUUUAUAUUUCUAAUCGAUAAUGAUUAUAAGUCUUAUUUUGGUGGCCAGGGAAAAGUAAGCGUGCCAGCCGCCUACAAAUAGUUUCUCCUCAGCAACUUGCAACUUUUUCUUGUUUUUUUGGAAACUAGCAACUUGCAACUUUCAACUUUUUGUUUGCUUGUUUUGAUAUGGCAAAGUAUGCAAAUUGAUUGUUCUUCAAUUUGAAUUUGACUAAAUUAUAUUUCAUCCAAUCGUACAAUGUCAUUCAAUUACACACAACCUCCAAUCCAAUCGUUACAACCUCCAAUCCAAUCGUUACAAGUACAAUAAUUGAGGAUAAAUUUCAGAUUCAUAUUUCACACAACACGUUUGGAAUUCGAUUGCAUGCGUUGAUGAAUCACACAAUGGUGGCCAAAGAGAAGUUGAAAUGUCACCAAGUGCUUAUCUUUUAAAAGAUUAAUAAAAUACAACCUCUGAUUUGGUACUAAUGUCAUACAAUCGUUAGUCAAUCUGUCAAAUAAGUCAUUAGGUGAUGAUGUGACAAGUGCAGCUCACAUUUUGUUAACUUUUGAGUCCAAAUUUGUGCCCCAUGGUUAAAGCAAAUUAAAAGAAAAAAUAAUAAUUAUUAAUAAUGUAAAAAUUAGAAAUCAUUUUUUUUUUAAAGGAGUACACUAUUCAUUAAUAACUAGAACAACGUACAAAUAGGGAAAAUGUGCUAACAGAGGGCCUAUAUAAAAACCUUACCGGUAAGUAACCCAAAUAAUGUAAAAAGAGUAUGUCUCGCAUAAAAUAAUAAGGACUAAAUUCCAAACAACCAAAUGUUAACUGUGAACACCAUCCUCCAACAAGAGAUCAAAAAUUAAAUCAGGAGGUCCCUCAAACCACGAAACCGGAUGAUCCAAAGUUAAAUUGAAUCUAGCUAGUCGGUGAGCCACCGAGUUUGCAUUUCAUCGUACAAAGCCUGCUUUCCACGAUUUAAAGGACUGCAUAAUCCUCCUGGUGUCUUCCAAUAAUAACGCAAACGGUACAUGGUUAGCCAUUGCAUUGUUUUGGAUUGCAGCAACUACUAGCAGCGCAUCACCUUCCAAUAUAACCUGGUCAGCACGCCACUAAAGUGCAAAAACAGCAGCUUCCCGUGCUGCAGCAACUUCCGCCUGCAUCGAAUCUGGCCUUGAGCUUCAUUACAAACCUUAAUAGCAUGAAUCUGGCCUUGAGCUUCCCAAUCAUCCAACAAAGCCGAGAGGCCUUCUGCACAUAUUACAAACAAGAACGGAGACAAUGGAUCCCCUUGCCGAAUCCCUCGUUUUGGGUGUACGAAUCCCACAGGAUCCCCAUUAAACUUGAAAGAAUAAGUCACAGUAGUAACACACAUCAUAAUCCAAUUAAUCCAUUCCUCAGCAAACCCCAAAUGUCUCAUCAUUUGCUCAAGGGAAGACCAUUCAAUACGAUCAUAUGCUUUAUUGAUAUCUAGCUUCAAAGCCAUCACACCCUUCCAACCGCUAUUCUUUGUUUUCAUAGCAUGAACAAUUUCCGAAGCCACCAAACAAUUAUUGGAAAUUAACUGACCCGAGAUGAACCCACUUUGGGAAGGCGAAAUAAUGUCAGGUAACACCAACUUCAACCUGUUCAUGAGAACUUUGGAGCAUAUCUAUAUAUAACAUUACAUAAACUGAUUGAGCGAAGUUGAGACAUGAAAGUAGGGUCCAUUUUCUUAGGAAUAAGAGUAACGUGCGUAAAAUUAAUUUUGCUCAUCAUACUUCCUGAAGAAAGGAGAGAACGAACCCCCUCAUAGAUGUCAUGACCAACGAUAGGCCAAUGUUUUUGGUAGAAUCCCAGAGUCAUCCCAUCUGGUCCAGGCGCCUUAAUGGGGUGCAUUUGAAAAAGAGCAUUCUUGUUCUCGUCAUCAGAAAACGGUACCAAGAACCCUUGAUUCAUCUCAGCCAUCACCUUUGGAGAAACCGUGCGAAGAACAGCAGACGCAUCAACCUGACCCGUGGAAUCAAACAACUUCUGAAAAUAAUUAACUAUUACCGCAGCCAUGCCAUCCUUGCUUUCCUGCCACUGCCCAUCGUCAUCAAACAAACCAUACAAACCAUUACUUCGCAACCGCCUAGAAGCCUUUUGAUGAAAAAAUCUUGUGUUUUGCAAUAUCAUUUAAUAUUUUAUCUAAAAAUUAAAGAAAAAAAAGAAAGAAAAUUUGAAACGCAGAUCUUCAUCUUCCUGUCCACCCAAUGCAGGUGACGAUCCCCCUCCCUGCAAUCAUCAAACCAAAAAGCUCCGCCGAAAUCAAACAAUCACAAUCAUCAAACCACCACCACCGUCAGAUUCCCAUGUGACCAUGAUAAUUAAGCAGUGCGAUUAUUUCAUUUAGCUUUACAUUAUUACCUGUUUAAUCUUUUACAAACAUAUUAAUUUCUUAUCCUCUAAUUGGGCAAUUUACUGUUAAAAAGUUAUGUCCUUACUGGCUGUUUUAGCCAAGGUUCUAAAAAACGCUAGGCGCUAGUCGGGCGACGAGCCAGUGCCUAGGCGGCUUAGGUGGAUUUAGGUAAAUUUCUUAUAUAUCUUGUAGAUAAGUGCAUAUUGACACAUAAAAAAUUAUAUUUGUAUGAAAUUCAUGGAUAAGAUAAUAAAAGAAUGAUAAAAUAUAAAAAGAAUAUUUAGUUUUUAAAUAAUUAGUAUUUAAUUUUUAAAUAAUAAAUAUUUAAAAACCCCACCAAGUGGGUUUGGUAGUUCAUAAACAUUUAAAAAUCAAAUGGUCGUUCAUAAAAUCCACGUGUGAGAGGUUUGACACCUCCCUUCCACCUCCACUUUCUCACAUCAGGUAGGAUUCAAAAGGUGGAGCUAGUUAUGCCUUGGAAAGCGAUCUCACAUUAUUUUUUUUGGGUUUUCUUUUCCUCUUCUGCCUUGGAAAGAGGAAAGCCCCAUUAAUGUUUUGAAAUUUUUUACUUCUUCUCUUCUUCUCCUUCUCUGAUUACUCUAUUUUUCCAUUUCCUCUUCUUCUGUUGCUCUGUAAAUUUCCACAGUAGCCUUUCUCGCUUCUUCUCCGAGCUUCUUUCUGCUUCCAAGGCGCUCACUCUGUCUCUCUCUCUUCUAGCUGCCAAGUAACUUCCAGUUCUGCCCCCAUCAACUCUAUUAAUUCCACCAUGAAACUUUGCACAUUCUGCAACUCCAUCCAAAAUCCAUCUCUAAAGUUCCAAUCUUUUCUCUUAAUCUUCUCAGCUCCACCACUCAUUCUACCCCUCAGAACCCAACAAAUUACAUAUGGGUCCCUCCCAAAGUCCUCAAACAAGCUUCCUUUCCACCACAAUGUCACCCUCACAGUCACCGUCGCAGUCGGAACACCGCCGCAGAAUGUUUCGAUGGUCAUCGACCCCAGAAGCGAGCUUUCCUGGCUUCACAGCAACAAAACCCGGGACUAUAACAAGACAUUCGAUCCGACCCAAUCCACCUCCUACUCCCCCGUCCCAUGCUUCUCAUCCACUUGCACGAACCGGACAAACCUUGCCAAUUUAUGAAACGAUUUUGAGUUAAUCGCGGCGAAGCACCGCCGCCUAGCGCCCAGGCACCGCCUAGGCGGCCGCCUCAACCGUUUUUUAGAACACUGAUUUUAGCUCACUCCUCUUUUGUUUUGCAGGUUUACAAAUAGACAAUCAAAAUGGUAGAUGGAAUGAGAUUGAAUUAGUUUUGAGGCUAGAAGUUCAAUUAAUUUUUAUUUUGGACUCGUCGAGAAGUAUGAUUUUCGUUUUUGAAUCACUUGAUUUCGUUGAGUAUUAAAGAAGGUAUGAACGUUUAAAGUUUACCCAGUUUCCAGCGAGUUUUUCAGUUUUCCCUCGGACCAGUCAACUUUGAGACUAUUUUCCGGCCAUCUCUAGAAAUCAUUGGGCUUCCAAAUAGGUAUAAUUUUAUUCUACACUUUCUUAUCUUCAUUUUGAUAUAUUAUAGGUUGAAUUUGGCUAAGAAACGAUUGAGUUACGAAGUUUUCAAAAUUGCCCAAACUUCCGGCUAAAAGCUCUGGGACACUUAAUUGAGUUUUUAACGGAAUGAUCAAAAUGAUGGAUGGUGGACAAUCUCAGGGAUCACUUUUAUUGAUUUGGAAUGUUAUGAACCAAAGUGAUAAGUUAUACAAAUCACAGAGACCAUUUUAGCUAUUUAGCCAGUAGAAAAAUAAUUCAAAUCCAUAAUUCAUCCACGGACGUUUGCAACUUUUUGUUUGCUUGUUAUCAUGUCACAAACGACGCAAAAUGAUUGUCCUUGAAUUUGAAUUUGGGUAACCUUAAAUUUUCGUCCAAUUUCAAUAUUAUACCUCUCUCAAUUUUUAUAUACCAGCCGUCAAAUUUGAUUAAGUGAUAAAAUGAAAAGUUUGGAACUUAUAUUUUACUGAUUUGGAGUCCAAAUUUAUGCCACAAGUUAGAACAAAUUAAAAAAAAAGUUUUAUUAUUAAUAAUGUAUAAAUUAGAAAAUCAUCUGCAAGAUCAUUUAAUAUUUUAUUUAAAAUUUAAAAAAAAACAAACGAAGGAUUUUUAUCACAAAUGGUCCAUGAAAUUGAUCCCUCAAUCAUGAUGGUCUCUAAAAUUGAAAAUCGAUCAAUGUAAUCACUGAAUAUUAGUCCCGCAAAUCAAUGUCUUUCUGUCACUGUUCCGUCCAAACUAGCGUUAAGAGAUUUUUUGGAAUUAGAUAAGAUAUAUAUUUUUUCCCUGAUCUCAAGCAUUGUCUCUUCUACUACAUAUGCAUACAUAUAGAACUAUUUCCAAGUCAUGCUCCUUGGAAGAGCAAGCCAUUGAUGGUCACCUCGCCGUCGACGAUAAUAGUCUGCCCAGUAAUGUAAGAGGAUGCAGGUAGGCAUAGAAAUGCUACCAAGGAGGACAACCUCUGGCUUUCCAGGACGUCCUAAAGGUCACCGAGAGUUUAUCAUCUCCAAUUUCUUUUCAUUUCCGAGAAACUGCGUUUAUAGAAGAGAGAAUUGAUGUGUAGGACACAUAUAUUACAAGCGCUUCAUUAACAUAAUAAAUAAGGCUAGAAGUAUGAUCUAAACUCGCUGUAAACUUUUCAUCAAAAAACUUGUUGUAAACAAGUCAGGUCUAAAAUUGAACCUAUACAUGAAUAAACAAAAGAUAUAUUGAACGCGAUUUAAGAUGUUUAGAAUAACGGUAGCCGGCUAUCUAGGCAGCUUUGGAGGUGGUUAGCAUGUCAAUUAUGUAUCUCUAUGUCUUUUUCAGAUUCUCUGGUUGCUUUUUGGGAUGCCUACGUAAGCCCUUUUCCUAACAACUGCACAAUCUAUGGAUUUUUUCGAAUCUUUAUACUAUUUUGACUAUUUGGAAAUCUCAAAAUAGGUUUAUUUUUUAGGGUCACCCAAUCUAUUUUCAUCGGCUUUGCAUGUCUAUCAAUUUUGGGAUCGUUCAUGGUUGGAAGUUUAUUCCUACUUAUUCUCAAGGCACUAGUCUAUCCUUGGCAAGGCUUCAACUAGUCAUCCUGUGCUUUGGUCUUUCCUUGGAUUAAACUUAAUACAGAUGGUUUGUCCAAAGGAAAUUCCAGUCCUACUCCUUGUGGAGGAGUUUUCAAAGAUUGCCAUUGCACAACCCGUCUCGAUUUAUUUUACGGGUUUUACGGAACGGAAGGUUAGUCUCAUAAUUUCACUUUGGUUUUAAAAAUGUGUUUGAAAAGGGUUUCUUUUGGACCUUAAAUGGUGUGCCCAAGGGGGCCCACCCCUAAUUUUCUGUCCCUGAUUCCCCUUUCCCCCGCCUGCCACGUGGCAAACCCCUACCCACUUCAUUUCUCAUUCUCUUCUCCCCGAGCACUCACUCUCUCAGCUCUAUAUCACUCUCUUUCACACACUCAACCUCUCUCCCUCAUCCCGAUUCACUCACACAUCCACACACCCAAAUCAAGGAAAGCAACGGCGACGGCGACACCAUCACAUCCACCGUGGUAGCACUCUCCCUCAUAUCUGUGAAGAAACCGGACACCUAGAGGGCACCCAAACCAAGACUUCGGCGAGCCCAGUGGGUUUCGAGCAAUGAAUCGGCCACCUUCGGCCAUUCCACGAUGAUUAGGAGGUAACCAAUCUUUCCUUUUUGUCUCUAUUUCAUUUUGGUACCUAGAUCGAGUCUUAGGUGUGAGCAGCGACGUCGACCGAAACUCAAGAGGCUCCGGCUUCCUUCCCCAGCGAGAAUAGGUAGCCAAGGCCCUUGGGUCGAGGAAACUAAGGCCUUUGGCCCGCUAAAGCUUUAGCCCAAGACCAAAGGGUUUCAGCCUGUGAGCUUUAGACCCAAACCCUUUUUAUUUAUAUUUAUUUUGUUUUCUUUUAAAAACCCAAAAACAAUCGGGCUAGGUUUCAAGCCCAACCCAGCCCAUUUAAAAACCCCUUAACCUUUUUAGACCCUUGCCUUAGGGCCGUUUGAGAUUAGGUCUUUGGGCCUUUGCAUCCGAGCCCAAACCCUUUGAAGCAAGCUUUCAGGCCAUGUAGAAGUUGGGCCUUUGGGGCCUGUGUAAAUCGAACCCAACCCAGAGAGAGACAGGCCUUUGGGCCAUCCAACUUGGGCCUCCAGCUCGGUAGUCUUAAUCCCAACUCGAACCCAUGAACCAUUGAUCGACUCGGACCCGUUAACCGUUGACUGGUUCGACCGUUAACUUAGUCAACAUUGAUCGUUGACUUUGACUUUGGUUUGUUGACUUUUUCUGGUUUUGUUCAGAAACCUUCUAGGCUAAUUUCGACGUCCUAGAACCGUUUUUUAUGUCCGUUUUCCCAAAUUCAAUUGUUUGAAUAUAGUUUUAUUAAUUGGACCAUUUAUGUGCUUAGGGGCAAUUAUUUGUGGUGUUUCCAUCUUAACUAGUUUGCGUGGCUCUUCGGCAGCGAGGUAUCUGUGAUUGGACCCUUUCUAAAAUGCAUGUUUUAAUAGUAGAAAUGCAUACAUGAAAAAUAUGAUUUAAUGAUUAAGUUUUAUGAAAUGUUUUAUGAGAUAUUAUCUUACUGAGAAUAUAUUGAAUUAUCAUAUUUUAUCGAACUAAUGUUCUUUGUAGUAUAUAUGAUGGAUGACUAUAUACUGCUUACGAACAUGCUUUUACACACUUUUUUAUAGUAUAUAUGAUGGAUGACUAUAUGCUAUGAAGAUGAUUUUGAGAUAUAUGUAUUUAUAUUUUGGGAAAUACUAUACUCAAUGUUUUUGUGUGUAUCUAGUGGUCACUGUUCUACCUACGGGCAAUGAUACUUAUAUUGGCUUCGGCUGGGCGUAAGUUGGUGCCUGUUUGGCAAAUGUAGUGUUCUGAAGGAAAUGUUCUAAAUGAGGAGUUCUCUAUGCCUUCGGGCGAUAUUGAUACCACUAGUUAGCACAUUAUAUACGUGAUAUUUAAGGUUUUAUGGCAUGCUAGGGUUUCAGAAACCUAUUACAUAUUAUAUUAUUGAAUUUCCAUAAACCUUUAGGGGUUAGUAUGUUGAUAAUUAUUUCAUUCUUAUAUGUAUAUCAACUUGGUCCGCUCUUGUUUGUUUUGCACCCCCUCAGGACUUAGAUUUGAGGUGUAAAAUCCCGGCAUCAAGGCACUUCCGCAUCGGCAUCUUCAAGUCUUCUUGGUGUAGGACCCAUUCCUUCAUUCAUUUAAUUUUAUAUUAUUUCGUUGGUUUUUACAUUAAAGUGACGUGAAUUAGAAAUCUCAUUAAGAGGAAGUCUGGUUAAGACCAGCUGAAGAUCCGAAAUGACGAUGCCACUUUGUAACAUGUGUUUCCCUAGGAAUUGGGAGCAGAGUCGGAUCUUCAUCGGAAUGUUGGGAAAUGAAAAAAUCUUAGUGGUACGAGUUGGUUAAGACCAACUGGAAAUCUAAGCGGUGUUGGACUCUGCGACAUGUGUACCCUAGGAAUGGCGGGCAGAGUCAUAUCCUUAUGGAAAUUACUUGAAAGUUCGUGUUAGAGAAAAUGAGUAAACGCUAGUUGUUACGAAGUUUAGUAAAUGGUAGUUUGGUGGGAUUGAAUCAAUGUUCUUGGACUCGUUUCCACUGAGAAAAUUCUUGUGGAUCUUUAGAACAAUUCUCGGUGAUUGUUCUAUCAAUAACUUUCUUGCUUACUCCAAUAGCGAAGUCAAGUCCCCUAACCUUUGACUGUCAACUUCACAUCAAAUUAUUCGAACGUUGUUUUUUACUAGAGUAUAGAAAUGUCAACUGCACUAUUGUGUACCACCUCGAUUGUGCAAGCGUAGUUGCUGAAUACCUCGGUAGAAAAAACACACAAAGCUCAAAGGGGAUAUAGGUUGAAUGUUUUGGCUUCCUAAUAAUGAGGCAUGGUAGAUCAGCAGAGUAAUGCAAUUGCAUAUUGCGAUGAUUAACCAAAUAAUCAUAAACAGUGACUUCUAUUUUUGCAUCUUCACUUUCCUUGGUUAUUUGUUCCUCAAUGUAAAACUAGAUCAUACUGUCGUACUGAUGUUUUUUACUACCCUUCCCGCCAAGCCCAUUCUGAUCAUGUAAACCUAAUCGAACAAUUAUCUAGUAAGACCGUAUUGGAUUAGAAAACCUGAAAAGCCAAAUCUACUAAAAUCAUAUAAAUUUGUCAGGAGGUUCAAAACAUCAAAUUAUUUCACGAGUUGCUGGACGAAGUUGAUUGACAAGUUAUAUUAAUAGGUGUGUUUUUGUGGAUGCGUACGCCCAGUUUCAUAUCGAUUCAGACAGGAAUGUUAGGAGUGUAACCUUUUCACAAGCUUACCAGAAUUACCGGAAAGACUUCCAUGUAGAUGUGAGCUUUGAGUCGUCUUUUAGUAAGAGAAUGAUGAAGAUUAUAGCGCAGGUGGUCAGCGAAUUGCAUCAUCAAUCAUUAUCUUCACGCAUAAAUGAAUAGUCACCACUCAUUAUUUUGCUGCAAUUCAUGAACAUCAUAUCGUACUUUAGUAGUUCUUUCCCAAUGAUAUGAUGCCUAUGAAUUGUAGCAAGAUAAGGAGAUGUGUGCGCUUCAACGCAUCUUUCCAAUGUUUCACUCCAAGACCUUAUUGUUCUUGAGUACGUGGAUGUCAAAACACUUUUAGUAGAUUUGAUUGGUGCGCUCUGGAAUGGUACCACAUCACGGUCAAGGCGAGAAUCAAAUGAUCUUUUCACACUCUCAUGUUGCUGAGCAAAAUGGUAUUUUGGCACUUUUGGCGACAUGGUACGAGAACUUUUACAGGCAACACCUGUUGACAAAGGGAUUUUUGCGAACUUGUAUCUGGAGGAUCGAAUUUAUGAUGUGAGAAAUUAUGCACCCUUAAGAAAUCACUGCUUGCUUACUGAGACAAUAAUGGGUGGUUGAUAUCGUGGGGAGCUGACUGUGAUAUCGAUAGCUUAUUCGUUGGAUCCGUUAAGCAUGUGGGCAGGUAGACCCAUCUACGGUAGAUAUUACUGAGUAGUCAUCGUUGGGGCUCGACCCAAAGACAAUUUUUCUCGUGGUACAUGACGUUACAUAUACGUGGGUGAAACCCACUUUCAUUUUCGGUUUUGGUUUUUAGUACAAGUAUUUUAACUUACAUAUUAUAGUUGUACGUGUUUUCUGAAGUUAAACAAAAAUUGGUCGAGUUAUUUCCACUUUCACUGUUGAGUUCAAUACGAAUUAUUCGACCUCUAUGUUAUUACUUAUCUAUUUUGACGUUAUCAUAUUUUGCAUACUUAUUUUUGAUGUUUUCGACUUUAUAUCUUUAUAAAGUAUGUUUUCUACUUUUACACUGAUGGGGAAAGAAAGUAUGAGCCUGGAGGCACGAAAGAUGGAAUCAUUGCAACCUGAUCACGAUGGUGUGGCAUUUUCCCUUUUCUACAACUGCUCUGACUUGAUUUCUUCUAUACAUAUAUAUUUUCUUCUCCCUAUUUUCAAGUUUUUUAGUGUAGCAAGUUAUUUUAAAUUUCGUGACAAAAUUUUAUUUAAUGGGGGUAGAUUAUGACAACCCGUCUCAAUUUAUUUUGUGAGUUUUACGGAACGGAAGGUUAGUCUCGUAAUUUCACUUUGGUUUUAAAAAUGUGUUUGAAAGAGGUUUGUUUUGGACCUUAAAUGGUGUGACCAAUGGGGACCACCCUUAAUUUUCUGUCCCCGGUUCCCUUCUUCCCCACUUGCCACUUGGCAGAUCCCUACCCAUUUCCUUUAUCUUCUCCUCGAGCACUCACUCUCUCAGCUCUCUAUCACUCUCUCUCACACACUCACCCUCUAUCCCUCAGACUAUUUCCCUCACCCUAAUUCACUCACACAUCAACACACCCAAAUCAAGGAAAGCAACGACGACGGCGACACCACCACAUCUACCAUGGUAGCAUUAUCCCUCUCCCUCGUCUCUGUGAAGAAACGGGACACCUAGAGGGCACCCAAACCCAGACUCCAGCGAACCCAAUUGUUUUGAGCAAGGAAUUGGCCACCUCCGACUAUUCCACGAUGAUUAAGAGGUAACAAUUUUUUCCCUUUCGUCUCUAUUUCAUUUUGGUACCUAGAUCGAGUCUUAGGUGUAAGCAACAAUGUCGACCGAAGCUUGGGAAGCUCCGGCCUCCUUCCCUAGCAAGAACAGGUAGCCAAGGCCCUUGGGCCGAGGAAUCUAAGGCCUUUGGCUUGCUAAACCCUUAGCCCAUGACCAAAGGGUUUCGGCUCGUGAGCUUUAAACCUAAACCCUUUUUAUUUUUAUUUAUUUUGUUUUCUUUUAAAAAUCCAAAAACAAUCGGGUCAUGCUUCAAGCCCAGCCCAAUUGAAAACCCUUUAAUCCUUUCGAACCUAGGCCUUAGGGUCGUGUGGGAUUUGGACUUUGAGCCUUUGCAUCAGAGCCCAAACCCUUGUAGCCCCAAACCCUUUAAAGCAGGCUUUUGGGUCGUGUGGAAGUUGGGCCUUUAGGGCACGUGUAAAUCAAACCCAACCCAAAGAGAGGCAGGCCCUUGGGCCUCCGACCCGGUAGCCUGAAGCCCAACCCGGUUCGACCCGAAAUCGUUGACAGACCCGGACCCGUUGACUGUUGACUUUGACUUUGACCGGUCAAAGUGGACUUUUUGUUGACUUUUUCGGGUUUUGUUUAGGAACCCUCCUAGGUUAAUUUCGACAUCCUGGAUCCAUUUUUGACAUUUGUUUUCCCAAAUUCAAUCGUUUGAAUAGAGUUUUAUUAAUUGGACCCUUUAUGUGCUUAGGGGUAAUUAUUUGUGGUGUUUUUGUCUUCUUUAGUUUGCGUGGCUUUUCGACGGUGAAGUAUCUGUGAGUGGACCCCUUUUUAAAAUGAAUGUUUUAAUAGUAGAAAUGCACACAUGACAAGCAUGAUUUAAUGAUUCAUUUUAUGAAACGUUUUAUGAGAUAUUAUGCUUACUAAGAAUAUUUUGAAUUAUCAUAUUUUAUCGAACUGAUGUUCUUUGUAGUAUAUAUGAUGGAUGACUGUAUACUGCUUACGAACAUGCUUUUACACACUUCUUUAUAGUAUAUAUGAUGGAUGACUAUAUGCUAUGAAGAUGAUUUUGAGAUAUAUGUACUUAUAUUUGGGGAAAGACUAUAUUCAAUGUUUUUGUGCGUAUCUAGUGGUCACUGUUUUGCCUACGCUCAUCUUUCUCCUUUUACCAUACUUUAAACAUACAAACUCCAUAGUCGCUGCCCUUCCUCCUACUGGAGGCCGGUGGCAAUCCCUCUCCCCAUUUUGCUAGCCUCCCUCUUUUAUCUUCUCAUAGAUUGUGACUUAUCUAUUUUUUGUCUAAGUAUUUUUGUCAAUAAAUAUCUCCUUGUUGAGAUUUUUUCAGUCCUUCUUCAUGAUUAUUUUAAUUUUGUGUUCGUAUGUUAUUGGCUUCUUCUGUGCAACUUUGUUGAAAUUGGUUCAUUGAUUGUGUUGCACACAAAAUUAGCUUUUAAUCUGCUAUAAGGUGUUCGUCUAAAAGUGAUAUUUUUUUUUUUUAAAGAUUUGAAUGAAUUUUUAACUAAUUAUAAACAAUAUAUGAUACUUUUCAAAAUUUUAAUAGAAGUCGAAAUCUAUAUAAGGAAAUUAACUAUAAGCACCGUCUUAUUUGGCAGCUCGGACUGUACUGACUAUUUCUAUUAGAUAUGAUAAAUAGCCACCAGAUAGUACUGAGUAAAUUAGUCGAGUGUUUGGUGUAGUAUCAGACUAAUAACCGUAUUAUUUAUACUGUGUUUGAUUUUAUACCGGAUAGGAGGAAUCAAACUUAAAAAAAAAAAAAUUAAACUUAAAAAACAAAACAGAAACCAUCACUUUUGUUCCCAGAUCUCUCCGCCGCACCCCUCAAACUCCCUCAAUCUCUCUCCCUUCUUCUUCUUCCCCGACUACAGAAGAAUCCCAAAUAAUUGUUCCCCAAAUCUCUUUGUCGCACCCCCCCCAAACUCCCUCCCUCUCUCUCCUUUCUUCUUCCCCGAUUGCAGAAGAAUCCCAAAUAAAUUCAAACAGCCAGUUGCGGAAGAAUCCCAAAUUGAAAUCAUCUCUCCGCCGCACCAUGUUUCUUUGCAAGACCCAGUUGCAGGGGAGAACAACGAGUAGGCAAUGAGGAAGGCCACAAGGAGACGAGGACUAGGAGAGCAAAGAUGGCGAGAGAAAGUGACGGCGACAGAAAACAACGGUGAGAGAAAGCGACGGGGAGGACGGCGAUGGUGAAAGAAGGUGACGGGGAGGACGAUGACGCCGAGAGAAGGAGAGAGAGAGAGAAGGCCAACUAAUAAUCCGAGCAUUUUGGUUGGUUUUAUUAAUCCGACGUAUACUGUGUUAAAUAAACAGACCAGUUAAAUUAAUCUGGCGCUUAUUUAGUACGAGUGAACGCCAAACACCCACGUCUGUAUAACUAGUCCUAUUCGAUCCUUUAUCCGAUCUGCCAAACAGGGCCUUAGUGGCAGAAUAUAUAGAUGCAACAUCUAUUGAGACCACACCAGCAGUAGGGGACAAAAAAAAAACAAUGUUAGCAGCUCGUGCAGCUUUGAGAAGAGGAUGAAAGUUGGCACAAGAGGUAAGCAGAUUCAAGAUUGGUUAUGAAUGAGUAAUCCUCAGCAGUGUACUCUAGAGUUGCUUUCGGUAUGACAAUCCCCACGUUGUUUAUAUAUAACAAGACAUUAUUGAAAAGGUUUAGCAUAACAUAACGAUUUUACCUUAUAUGUAUUAUUGAAAAAUGCAAGAAAAUUAUGUGUAUUAAACAUAAAAAGUACAUACAUACGUGUAGAUCUUUGAGUUUUAAAAAACAUACAAUUUUACGAAUUAAUGAAAUUUGAAACGUGUACAACAAACAAAUUUAUUUACGAGGGGAUGUUAAGUUUGUUAUGGAAGUGUGAUGAUGAUUCGUGAUUCAUGCACAUAUGUUAUUUUAACUAAUUAGUCUUCUACCUACAAGGAUGUUGAGUUUGCCAUCAGAAAGUGAUGAGACCUUGUUUAUAAGCUCCUCUCUUUGGGUUUUUGACUUGAAGACAGAUCCGGCCUCGGGAGUUGCGAUGGACCUUGUUUAUAAGCUCAUCUCUUGGCUGAAUGGAAGUAUUGACCAAGGCAACUGGGAGGUUUUCCAGACCAAGUGGGAGAUUUGUUGAGAAGGUGCGGAUUUCAGUUUGUGUGAAUGGUCUUGGGUACCGAGAUCAGCCAAUAGAGCGGCGGAUUUUGUGGUGUCGCAUGUUGGAGCGGAGAUAUGCGACUUAGUCUGGGUUCAACGACCCCCAUCUUCGUUUAUUCGGAAUCUGAACAAGGAUGGUCUACCCUGCCCUCCAACUUAGCUUUUGUUAGAUGUGAUUAAGGUGACAUUGGGGGGGGGGGGGGGGUGCAUACGUGUCGUAGUUUUUCCCUUAGUCCCGUUUAUUUCUGAUGUUGUUUGCCCAAGGUGGCUUUCUGUACUCCUAUUUGGCUUUGGCCCUAGUGAAUGAUAUUUUCCGAUUAUUCAAAAAAAAAAAAAAAAACACACUAUGCAAAUUGAUUGUCCAAUUUGAAUUUGACUAAAUUAUAUUUCAUCCAUUUUCAACAUCGUACAAUGUCUUUCUAUUUCGUACAACUUCUUAUUCAAUCAUUACACGAUGGUCCAGUAGUUUAGGACGAAUUCUAAACUCGUAUUCGAUAAAACUCGUUCUGAAUUUGAUUCAUAACACUGGUGAAUCAUACACUAUAAUUUUGGAGCUAGAAAACAAAUGGAAAGUAUUAGAGAGUGGGAGAGAACUUUGUGUUUACAGUACCACGUCCAGAAUGAGAUCGAUGUCAUUUUGGUUAAUUUUUUAGCAAAUACUACAUUUUCUUAAUGCAAUCUUGUUAAUGGUAACAUAAUGAGUUUAAUGCUCACAAGAUCUCAAAAAUUGCAUAGCAUGUUAUUCUUCCACAAACAGUUCAAGUACUUUUUAAACCAAACACAUUUUAAACUAUUUUUAAUUAACAUUGUCAUGUUUGCAAGCGCUUUAGUUAUUUAAAAGCAUUUUGAAUUGGAAACGGGCCCUACAACAAGCUAGACAUAUGAAGUUUUGAGAAUACUUGAUGAGCAAGUUGUCCAAACCACAUUUAUGUAAUCUUUGGAGGGUUCAGUUGAUGGUGCUUAAAGCGUUUUUCUGACAUCUCUCAUCUAAGUUCACCUCACAACUUAAAAUAAUUAUUUUUUAAUUUUUAAUUGCAUGAAAAGAAAAAAAAAGGGACAUAUUAUUACAUGAAACAUAAUAAGAUUCCUAUCUUAAUUUUUUUUCUAAGAACAAAAAAAAAACCUUGUAUCGUUGACCAUUGAUAGAGACAUGCCGUCCAGUAAUCCAGAAAAUUAAUUUUAUGGAAAACUAAUGAAAAUAGCUUGAAAACUUUGAGUUUUAAAGAUAAGGACAAAAUAAAGAAAAAAGUGAAUAGUACAAGGAUUGACUUUUUAAUGUAAAAAUAUGAUUUUUCGUUAAAGUGAAUAGUACCACUGGCUUUUCAUUAAAACUCCCUUAAUUUUAUGAUCGGCUUUGUAAGGAAAGCGAGGAUGUGCGAUGCUUCUUGAGGAGUUUUGUUGUUUGUCAAUAAAAUCUAUUUAUUUGAAUUUCCUGCUUCUAGUACUACCUACUGCUUGAAGUUUGAACAUAUUAUAGAAGCAUUUUUUAUUGUUCUAAUCGUACAUGUAGAUCAUUUCCAAUGAACUGGCAAUCUUGGUGUGUUGUUUGAAGGAUGUUGGAGUCUUCUCUUCAUCCCGUUUUGGGGUUGUCUUCGGCCGAUCUCAGGCAUCUAUUGAGGGCGAUGGUUUGAGAUGGUGGGUUGGUGGCGUUUUGGCAGUGGUGGAGUAGCAAGUUGCUAGGAUUUGUUGCGGUUUUUUCUUUUGUGGUGAGCUCAAACCUUUGUUUUGGGCCAUUUUUGCGUUACUCUGAAGGUCUACAUCCACGCUGUGUGCUUAAUGUAAUUGGAUCUCUUUCUUUGUAAUUUUGUUGUCUUGGCAAAAAUUUUACCCUAAAAAAAAUCUAGGCUUGAAAGCUCUUCCAAUAUAGCGAAACUAAACGUCAAUAGACCAAAUGUUUGACAAUCUUUUAUUUUCUGAUUUAAUUAGAACAUUAAUGAUGUCACCAGUUUUCACAUACAAUAAAAGCACACCACUUUGGAAUUACUAGAUACGAGAUUUUUUUUUUUAGAACUGUUUCCAAGUUAUGCUCCUUGGAAGAGCAAGCCAUUGACAGUCACCCCGCCGUCGACGAUAAUAGUUUGCCCAGUAAUGUAAGAGGCUGCAGGUAGGCAUAGAAAUGCUACCACGGAAGACACCUCCUCUGGCUCUCCAGGACGUCCUAAGGGGCACCGAGAGUUUAUCAUCUCCAAUUUCUUUUCAUCUCGGAGAAACUGCGUGCAUAGAAGAGAUAAUGGAUGAAACGAGAAUGAAUGUGUAGGACACAUAUAUUACCGAUGAUCUUAAUAAUUGGUCAAGCUCUUCGUAAACAAAUUAAUUAAGACUAGAAGUAUGAUGUAAACUUGCUGUCAACUUUUCACCAAAAAUCUUGCUGUAAACAAGUCAGGUCUAAAAUUGAACCUAUACUUGAAUAAACAAAAGACAUGGACUUUUGGCAAACCCCAACUUUUUAUUCUAAUUUUGCCUAUGGACUUUUGGCAGUCUCAUCAAUGAAAUACUGAUUGGCUUAAAGUUAUGAGAUGAUUGUAAUACAAGUAGUUAAAAGAAUUCACUCAUAUAUCUUAAAUUCAAUUUCGAUUUUCCUUCCAGAACAUCGAUUGUAUUAGAAAAAAUGAAAAUAAACAGCAUGCACAAGAACGUGACCAGGAUAAUCUUACAGGUUCAACGAGGGGAGUCGUGAUGAACCAAGGUGCCACACUGUUGGUCCUUAUGUUAUCUUUCGCCCACUCACAUGCCAAGUUUUUUGCUAACUGAUUCAUUGCACCUGAUGAGAUACAAUAAGGAAAAGCCACACUUUUGUCAAACAUUAAAAAUCACACACCAAACAAUGUAAUCAAAUUUUAGGGGUUUCUCGUCUCAACCUCUUAUGGUUUAAAAAAAAUAAAAAAAAAUAAAAAAAAAACUAGCUGCUCCUCUUUCUCCUCUUACCAAACCCUAAAUCUUCAAACUUCAUAGUCGCCAGCCUCUUGCUCCGACUGGAGGCAGUGGCAAGCCCUCUGCUCAUUUUUCUAGCCUGUCUCCUUCAUCUUCUUAUCGAUUGUUGCUUAUUUAUUUUUCAUCUUAGCAUUUUUGUCGAUAAGUGUCUCCUUGGUGAGGUUUUUUGUGAGUAUUUCUUCGUGAGUGUAUUAAUUUUGUAUUGGUGUGUUAUCGGCUCCUUUUGUGUCUACUUUGUUAACACGAAAUUCAUGUUGUGCACAAAAUUAGCUUUUAAUCUUAUAUAAGGUAUUAGUCUAAAAGUGAUAAGGAUUUGAAUGAAGUUUUUUUUUACAAAUAAUAAACAAAAUAUGUUUUAUUUUAUUUUAUUUUAUUUUAUAAAGGUCAAAAUUACAUAGGGAAAUUAACUAAGCACCUUUAGUGGCAGAAUAUAUAGAUCCAACACCUGCUGAGACCACACCAGCAAUAGAGGACAAAAAAACGAUGUUAGCAACUCCUGAAGCUUUGAGAAGUGGAUGUGUAAGUUGGCACAAGUUGUAAGCAGAUUCAAGAUUGGUCUCAUUAUGAAUGAGUAAUCUUCAGCUGUGUACUCCAGCGUUGCUUUCGGUACGACAGUCCCCACAUUGUUUAUCUAUAACAAGACAUUAUUGGAAAGGUUUAGCAUAAUAUAACAAUUUUAGCUUAUAUGUAUUAUUAAAAAAUGCACGAAACGUGUACAUCUUUGAGUUUUAACAAACCUACAAUUUUACGAAUUAUUGAAACGUCUACAACAAAAAGAAAUAUUUACGAGGAUCUUAAGUUUGCCAUGAAAGAGUAAUGAUGAUUAAUGAUUCAUGCAUAUGUGUUAUUUCAAUUGAUCAGUCAUUUACUUACAAAAAUGUUAAGUUUGCCAUCAAAGAGUGAUGAGACCUUGUUUAUAAGCUCCUCUCUUUGGGUUUUAGACACCACAUCACAGACUGAGCCAGUGACUUGAAAACCCUUCUUCUCCCACUGACUCAGGCAGUCAUUAAGGUCAACUUCAUUUCGGGAACAAGUAUGCACAAUCGCACCCAGCCCUGCCAAUUCCUCCACUAUCGCAUACCUAAAUAAAUACUAAACUAAUUUAACAAACAGCAGUAAAAAAAUAAUUCAAACCCAUAAUUCUAAAAGAGAAGAAAACAUGGGAUAAGUGGAGAAAUAAAAUGAAUAUUGCAUUGCAUGUAUAGGAAAAUUGAAACUAAAAGAAGAUUAAUGUUCUUGAGUAUCCAAAUUUAGAGAAGCUAACCCAAUUCCUUUGGUUCCACCAGUGACAAGAGCUGUCAUUCCACGAAGAGACCAUCUCCUUUCUCUGCUGCUCAUCUCUAUCUGCUGUCUAAUCUCCCUGUCUGCCUAUAUAUAUACAACCUAGCCUUCAUGCACGCGUGUGAGUGCGUGCGGAAUGCAUUUUUUGAAUCACAAUGUGCUACGCGUGAUUUAGACAUUUUAAAUGUAUUUAUAUGCGUAAAUUAACAAAACGAAAGUCAAAUAGUUGAAGUAAAUGAAUAAUCUUAGAUCAUGCUAGAAGAAACCCCUUAUAAACCAAUUAAAGCAACUGAAUUCACAUAAUAAAAUCGGUCUCUAUAGAAUUUACAUUAAGAAUAGAGAAAAUAAUAUUUAAUAAAAAAUUGAUUGAAUCACAUUAUUGCUAGCCCAUUGUGAGGCUAAACUCACCCUCUCUCUCUCUUAGUGUAGAUAAUAUCGUUUGUUAAAAAAAAACAAUCAUUUGACAACUAAUUUAAUGACAUUAUUAUCUGCGUGCGAAACACUUUUUUUAUAACUUGCAUUACAUGCCUUUUAAGAAUUAUAUGCCUCUUAAGAUGUUUUGAACGUGUUUAAAAAUAGAUAAAAUAAUAUUUAAUAAACAACUGAUUGAAUUACAUUAUUGCUAGCUAAUUGUGAGGUACUAAUUAAAAAAAACAUAAAAAAAUUAAUUCAAAAGGAAAGUUAAAUAUUUGAAGUAAAUGAAUAAUUUUAGAUUAUGCUAGAAGAAACCCCUCAUGAACCAAUUAAAGCAGCUGAAUUCACAUAAUAAAAUCGGUUUCUAUAAAAUUUACAUUAAGAAUAGAGAAAAUAAUAUUUAAUAAACAAUUGAUUGAAUCACAUUAUUGCUAGCUAAUUGUGAGGCUAAGCACACCCCCUCCCCUUUAGUGUAGAUAACGUCAUUUGUUAAAAAAAAAACAACCAUUUGACAACUAUGUUAAUCACAUUAUUAUUCGCGUGUGAGAGACCUUUGUUAUGCCAACCCCCUCUCUCUUAGUGUAUAUAAUAUCGUUUGUUUAAAAAAAAUUAUUUGGCAACUAAUUUAAUGUAAUUUAAUCUUAUUAUUAUCAGCAUGUGAAAGAUUUUUUUUAUAACCGGCAUUACAUGCCUCUUAAGAUGUUUUGAACGGCUUGGUGACACCAAAAUCACCAUUCACAACAUCUGAUUGAAUCACAUUAUUGCUAGCCUAUUGUAAGAUAUUAAUUUUUAAAAUAAAAAAAAACUUUACUAAUUUAUCAUCAGCACUACGCGUAUCUUAAAAUGUUUUAAAUACAAUAUUCAUGAUUUUUCUUAUUUUUUUAUUAUAUUUUUUUCCCCUUCACAUGGGCACCAUCAACUUUUACUUAUUCUUUCAUUUUUUUUUUUAUUCUUUUCUCUCUUCCCACUUAUAUUUAUAUUAUAUUUUAUGAUGACCAAAUUACCAAAUUACCCCUUCAUUAUUUGAUAUAUUAUGUUGGGUUGCUUUUAGAUUUUUUGGAUGAGGGGCAAUUUUGUCCUAAUAUUUUUGUUGAAUGGGGUGACCCCAAAAUUUUGUCCCGAUGCGUGACAUGCACUAUUCAUACAUUGUUCAUCUCAAUUUUAUAUAUAACUAGCCUCCAUGCACGUGCUCACGCGCGUGCAUAAGGCUUUUUUGAAUUACCAAAUUACCCUUACAUGAUUUGAUAUAUUAUUUUGGAUUGAUUUUGAAUGUUUUUGGCUGAUGGGCAUUUUGGUCCUAUUCAUUUUUUGUUGAAGCCGCAUGACCCCAAAAUUUUAUCAGUAUGCGUGACGUGACUCCAUAUUGGAGCCCUCGCUUUCUAUAUAAAAGAUAGAUAGGUCGACAAUUAUUAGUUGAUAUUAUGGUGGCCAGGGAAAAGUAAGAUUUCCUGCUGUCCACUAAUAAUUUAUCCUCAGCAACUUGCAACUUUUUGUUUGCUUGUUUGAUGUGGCAAACUAAGCAAUUCGUACACAGUCUUUUAAUUUCAUACAACUUCCGAUUCAAUUGUCACGGGGUAGUCCAGCACAUGAAGAUGAAUUCUAGGUCCACACAACAUGUUUUAAAUUCAAUUCAUCAACGUUGAUGAAUAAUACAAUAGUGACAGGAUGAUGUUGAAAUUCCACUCGCUGCUCUCCUUUUAAAAGAUUAAAUAAAAUACUUCUAAUUUCAUACUAAUACCAUACAACCGUUAAUCAAUUUGUCUAAUAAGUCGUUAAGUGAUAAUGUGAUAAGUGCAGAGCUUACAUUCUAUUAACUUUGAGUCCAAAUUUGUGCCCCAUGGUUAAAACAAAUUAAAAGAAAAAAAAAUUAAUUAUUAUUAAUGUAAAAAUUAGAAAUCAUUUGCAAUAUCAUUAAAUAUUUUAUUUUAUUUUUAAUUUGAAGCUCAGAUCUUCAUCUUCCUCUCCACCCAAUGCAGGUGACGAUCCCCCUACCUGCAACAUCGUCUCGACAAUGUACUCCGGGACCAUCCCCCUGAGCUCCUCCUCAACGAUCGUGGACCACGGCCUCACCUCUCCCUUUCUCGCAUACGACACAGACGACCACCACCACACUCUGCCCAGCUCCACCAAAAUCAAACAACCACAAUCAUCAAACCACCACCACCGUCAGAUUCCCAUGUGACCACCUGAAUUUUCAAAAAAUACUUGAAUGAUAAUUAUUUGUUAAGGAGCGCUUUUAAUUUCAUUUACUUUGUAUUAUUACCCGUUUAAUCUUUUAAAAAUAUAUUAAUCUCUUAUACUCUAAUUGGUCAAUUUACUGUUAAAAGAUUAUGUAUUUACUGAGCUGUUCUUAGAGAUGGGCAACAGUUAUGGCGAGCAGGUAACCGCGGUUAUUUACCUAUAACCGUUUAUGUUCAUACCCGCAUAAUAGUUUACCCGUUGGAUAAUUGUAUAAACGGUUAUUCCCAUAACUAUAACCGUUUAUAAACGGUUAUCCAUACUCAUAACCGUGUACCUAUUUAACCAUAAACAUUUACUCAUUUAACCAUAACCAUAAUCAUUUACCCGUUUUUUUGGACCCGUUUAUCCUUUUUUUACCCAUUUACCUUUUUUUCACCCGUUUGCAUGUUUUUUUUUUUAACAACUUGAAAAUUACAAAAAAAAAAUUUGUCAUAAUUUUCGUUUUCUGACAAUUAAGCACCAUUAUAGGUACAUUUUAUCAUGCAUUUCUAUAUUUUAAUUAUUUAAGUCCUCAUACAAUUUCAAUAUUGAAAUAAUAGUUUACGAGAUCAUAUUCACAAAGUGAUAUAUCAUCAUAUCAACUAUCAAGAUUGCAAGUCGCAGAUGUUCUAUUGAUAGCACAUACAGACAUGGUGACCAGAUCAACUGGAUGAUUGUGUGUAUUUUAAUUGAUUAAUUAUAUUGUGUAAUUUGUAUUAAUAUAUAUAUAUAUAUAUAGAUAUAUGUGUGUGUGUGUUGUUAUUGCAUUUGCACUUUGCAGGAAAGAGUUCAUGGCUAGAGCCUACACCAUGAACCAGUACUUAGAAUUUUAGCAUACCCAAAAUCCCUUGGAUAAUUAAAAUCCUUGCAGUGGAGCUGGGAAGGAGAGGGUCCGGACUAGAGGAGGGAGGGGGGAGAGAGAGAGAGAGCCUACUUCUAAAACCCCUCAAAAUCCCUGGGAUAAUUUUUUUUUUAAUUUUUACAUAUAUUAAAUUAAAUUGGUAAAUAGAUACCCAUAUAAGCGUGGGUAAUACCCAUAACCGAUAAAUACCCGUUAUAACCACCUAUUUAAAUUUCUCUAAAACCCCUCAAAAUCCUUGCGAUAAUUUUUUUUUUAAUUUUUACAUAUAUUAAAUUAAAUGGGUAAAUAAAUACUCGUAUAACCGUGGGUAAUACCCAUAACCAAUAGAUACCCGUUAUAACUGCGGGUAAUACCCAUAACCGCCAAUUUAAAUUUCACGGAUAAACAGUUAUACCCAUAACCGUUUGUUCGUCUAAAUGGUUACCCAUAACCAUAACAGUGAACUUUAAAUGGGCGGGUAACCGCGAUUAUUCAAACCCAUAAGUAUUUUGCCCAUCCCUAGCUGUUCUAGCUCACUCCUCUUUUGCUUUGCAGGUUUACAAAUAGACAAUUAAGAGGGUAGAUGGAAUGAGAUUGAAUUAGAUGUGAGGCUAGAAGUUCAAUUAAGGGGAGGAAUUAAGUUUUCAUCUCUCAUUUUUCAACAACAUUGAUUGAAAUCUUAUUCCUUUUCAAUUUUUAAUCAAGGCCUCUUAGUUUUAAUAAACAUCAUUAAUUAUUUCAAUAAUAAAAUAUUUUACAUAUCAAGAUAAUUAAAUUUUAUUUAUAAAUUAUUUAUUUAGGGUUAGAAACGUUACAUUUGAUAUAUUUAUAAUUAUGGCUAGAUUUUGUAUCAUAUAUUUUUAUUUUUAGUUUGUACCCAUUUUAAUUUGCAACCUUUUUUUUUUAAAUUGUGUCAAUUUUCUAUUCAGUUUUAGUUUGUACCCAUAUAUUAAUUUCUUGGGAGAUUUAAUGAAAAUGGUAUGGACUAAGACUAUUUUAAUCAAAAACCAGUCUAUAGUUUUAUUUAACCAAAAGCACCUUAAAUGUAAUCGCGCAGCCCAUUCGAUAGCAGCGUAUGUUGUUAAGCAUGGCGGGAGAUUUGGCUGAGAUGAGUUAGGACCUGAAUUUUUGUUUAAUAUUCUAGCAGAAGAUGAGCAUGUAACGAUUCGUAUUUAAUUCAAUAAAGUUUUAUCUUUCGACAAAAAAAAAAAUAUCAUAAGGACAGGCCCCCAAUUUCUAUACGGGCUGAAUUACAAAGCCCAAAAUGUUCAAAAAUAAGGUUCCAAAAUUACCCCUAACAGAAAGAAAAUGCAGCCCGUUAAAAACUUCAAUAUAAUUACAACCCUGCCCCUCACGUUAACUAAGAUCAUAUAACUUUUGGUGGCUCUUCUACUCUCUGCUCUUAGAGAAAUUAUACACCCUCCGAAAGUCUAGAAAUUGGUUGUGAGGACCUUCAAGGACCACCCGACGGUCUGGCAUGUGGUGGAGGAGAAGUGACACACCCCGACUGAGAUCGAGGCAUGCUGGCCGUCACGGGAGGGUGACGUAGCCAUGUGCACAGUGCGGAAGCAAUAAAGAUAAGAAUUAUACGAAUAAAUAAAAACCGAAAGCUACUAAAGUGCACUAAUAAACAGGAAGUGCUAAGAGUGAGAUACAAGUGUAAAUACUCCUAAUCAAAGCUUAGAAAGUCUAGGUGCAGCCUAGUAGGACAAGUACUAAUAAUACAGUACUAGAAGAUGUCCUACAAUUAUUUUAUUAUGUUAGAAUCGCCGAAAUCCUCGUACGCCACCAACAGCAAGCUAACCUAAAACUUGGAGGGGCGCAAAACAGAAAACGUGAGUGGGUAAAAACAAAUGUUUUCAAAUUCAUUUCAUUUCUUAAAAGUUCUAACCCCUCGCCGUAAAACAUGUAUAAUUUUCCCAGAAAUAGAAUAUAAGCAUAUGCAUAAAUGUAUAUAUAAAUAUCUCAAUUCAAAUCAUAGUUCACAUAAUCAUAUUCAUAAGUAUGCCAUGCCAAGAUAUAAGCAGAAUAAGUAACUCAGGUGAGAAUAAUUUCAUAGAAACUAACAUAUUAGCCGGAACCCCUGCUGAAUUCAUAGCUCAUUAGUCAAUCUAGUCGGAGUCAUUACAAUGACCUAUACGGCACUACACUGCACACAAGUCGGAACCAUUAAAAGGGUCUAUACGACAAGACUGGGUGUAAAAUAGUUAUGCUCAAUACUACGCUCUCAUAAUAGCUGGGCGAUAAAUCGCUAGUCAUCUACGAGUCGGAACCAUCUAUGAUGGUUUGUACGAUAAGACUGUGCACCUAAAUUGGAUCCAAUGUGAGCAUAUGGUGCGGGAGGUGACAUUAUAUAUAUAUAGGCAUGUGCCAUAUCUCUGGCUAAAUCACAAUCACCCUAGGUGCAGGUUUAUGAGCUCUAUGCUUCUCAAUUAAUCACAACCGUUAUUCAUAUUCACAAUACAUAACUCACCUGUGCUUACCUAAGCGUCCACAUCACCACAAUUAUAUAUUAUGCAACAUAUACUAACUCACAUGCUGGACAUAAAGUUAUAUGCAUGGCAAUUCAAGGCAUACUUCAUUUAAAUGCAUUAUUCUGGGAAAAUAUCAAGUAUAUAAAUAUAUACUGAAAACCAAAAGCCCACUCACUGGUAUGUCGAAGGGUUGUAGCCUCCGAGUCGCCCUUGACUGCGCUCAUCCUCGGGAUAAGUCUCCCUUAUAUGUGAAAUAACUAUAAAAAAGUUAAUUUAAAGCACAUAACCAAAACUAACUAAUAAGUUCUCAUACAUUGCUCAAAUGGGGUGUUUGAAUAUACCAACGUGAUCUACACAACCUCACAAACAUACCCAUAUUUUUAAAAUAAUUUUCCAACCAUCCACGCGUCGGCAAGUGCACGGCAAUACGCGCGGCCACGCACAGGGAACCCUAAUUGCAAUUAGGAAUAUUCCGUCAAAAUAAAGGAAUAUUCCGUCAACUUUACCUGACGCCGUUACUCUCCGUUAAGAAUAUUCCGUCAACUUUGAUGGAAUAUUCUUCUGUCUUCUCCGGUGGACCUCGCCGGCCGUCGACGGAAAACUGGAAAAUGUUUAAACCUUGAUAUCUCAGUCAUUUUUCAUCCAAAUUUCAUGAAACUAGUACCAAAUUGAAGCUCUUAACUUGUAGAACAUUUCCUUACCUAUUUAAAUCCCCAAAGAUCACGGGAUCUCGCCUGAGAAAUUCGAAAGAAACCGGCCAAACUUGAAACUCACAAUCCCGACGUCCAAAACUACCUAGCGAGCUACCCCGAGCUUCGUGAAGACCUUCUAAAGCUCCAUGUGAGCUUAAAAUCCAUUGAAACCUUCACAUUUAUGUGUGCAUGAACAAUGCAUCAAAUCGGAGGUUCUUGGUUCUCACGAUCCCGACGUCCUCUCAACCAACUAAGGGUAUCAAUGUGUUUCUGGGCUUACAAGGAACACAAAACCAACCUUCAAGUCUUUGAUCUAUAACUGGUUGAAGGGUUUGAGGGGUGUCCGUACAAGGUGUACAGAAAAUGGAUGAAUUCUGAGAGAAGAAGAGAGAGAGAGAGGUCAACGGCAAUGGUGUGUGGUCUAGAUUUUGGGUCACCAACCAAAAACAAGGAAAAUCUGAGUUCUAAUUGGGUCCAAACAAUUAGGACUUAAAAUGAUUGGCCCGUUUCACACACUCACGACCCAACGUUUAAAGGAAAAAUCGACAUUUCACGCCAUCGAUAAAAGUAAUUCGGGACAGGCUGUGACAAUCUACCCACCUUAUAAAAUUUCAUCCUUGAAAUUAUAUACAACAAUUACAUCCACUAAUAGUCAUAAAACAAGCAUGGAUACAUCUCUUUCAUCCGAUCCUCUGUCUCCUAAGUAGCUUCUUCCACUGAAUGAUUUCUCCAUAAUACUUUCACUAAAUGCACGGUCUUAUUCCUUAGUUCCUUAUCCUUCCAAUCCAAAAGAGUCAUUGGUUCCUCAUCGUAAGACAAAUCCGGAUUAAUUUUCAAUGGUUGAGGAGGAAUCACAUGUGAAGGGUCUGUAACAUAAUGACGAAGCAUCAAAACGUGAAACACAUCAUGUACCUUGGACAACUCUGGAGGCAACUCAAGCCUGUAAGCAACCUCACCGACUCACUCGGUGAUCAUAUACGGUCCAAUGUACCUAGGACUUAGCUUGCCUUUCUUUCCAAAUCGCACAACACCUUUCCAAAGUGAUAGUUUCAUAAAUACCCAAUCACUUACAUUAUACCUCCGGUCAGUGGCAUGCCUAUCUGCUAAGCUCUUUUGUCGAUCCUGGGCCGCUUUCAGGUUAGACUUAAUUACCUGAACAUUUUGAGUAGUCUCGUCCACAAUCUCAGGGCCCACUAAAACUCUUUCGCCAACCUCUGACCAACAUAAAGGUGUACGACAAGAUUUCCCGUAAAAUGCCUUAAAUGGUGCCAUACCAAUGCUCGAAUGGUAACUGUUGUUGUAGGCGAAUUCUAUCAAAUCCAAACAAUCAUGCCAACCAUCGCCAAACUGAAACACUGAAGAUCUCAGCAUAUCUUCUAAUGUCUGAAUGGUCCUCUCAAAUUGCCUAUCUGUCUGAGGAUGAUAUGUCGUACUAUAAAGUAAUCUCGUACCAAAUGCUUCCUGGAAUGCUAUCCAAAACUUAGAAGUGAAUCUAGAAUCCCGAUCUGAGAUAAUAUUAACCAAAAGGCCAUGGUACUUCACAAUUUGUGAUAUGAAUAAUUAGCUAAUCGGCUUAAUGAAUAUUUUUCCCUCACUGGAAUAAAAUGUGCUGACUUAGUAAGCCAAUCAACUAUCACCCAAAUGCCGUCAUAACCAUUUUGUGUACGAGGGAGCUUGUACACGAAAUCCAUAAUAAUAUUUUCCCAUUUUCAUUGUGGAAUGGGAAGCGGCUGCAUCAAUCCAAACAGCUUCUUCCUUUUAGCUUUAACCUAUUGGCAAAUGGCACACCUACUCACAUAUUCAGCAAUUUCCCUUUUCAUACCCGGCCAAUAAUAAAAUGGUCAAAUGGUAUGAUACAUCUUGGUGCCUCCUGGAUGCAUCGCAUAUGCCAAAAUGUGUGCUUCAUCAAGGAUUUCUUUCUUUAACUCUACAUUAUUCAGCACAUACAUCCUGCUUUCCUGUAUAAGCAUACCAUCAGUUUCUCGAAUCCUGAAAUCUUUCUUUUUCCCUUGAUUCCUUGGUUGAAUUAUUUCAUGUGUCUCUUCAUCAUUCAUUUGGGCCUCGAGCACACGAUCAAUUAAAAUUGGCCUAACUUGAAAAUUAGCAAGUAAGGCUUCAUCUCGAUCUUCCACUCCUAACUCCACUCCAGUGGACCUCAAAUCUGUAAAAAGAGGAACGUGACAAUCAUAGAUGGCAUUAAGUCUAGCUGAAGCCUUCUUCCUAAGUGCAUCCGCCACUACAUUUGCACGACCAAGGUGAUACUCAAUCGUGCAAUCAUAAUCACUAAGUAGCUCAAUCCACCUCCGCUGCCGAAGAUUUAGAUCCCUCUGAGUGAAAAGAUACUAAAGACUCUUAUGAUCUGUGAAGAUCUUACAUUUCUCACCAUAAAGAUAAUGUCUCCAAAUCUUCAAAGCAAAAAUGAUAGCUGCUAACUCCAAAUGAUGAGUAGGGUAAUUCUUCUCAUAAGGUUUCAACUGUCUUGAAGCAUAAGUAAUCACCCUACCAUGUUGCAUCAAUACACAACCCAUACCAUUCAAAAAAGCAUCACUGUAGACCUCAAAAUUACCACCAUUAUCUGGGAGUGUUAAAACAGGUGCAUGAGUGAGAUAAUACUUCAACUGUUGAAAACUUUGUUCACAAUUAUUAUCCCACUCAAACUUAACAUCUUUCUGAGUCAACCUCGUUAAUGGUAAAGCAAUCACUAAAAAAAUCCUUAAUGAACCGUUUAUAAUAGCCUGCUAGACCAAGAAAACUAUGUACCUUGGUGAUGGUUCGAGGUUGUUCCGUAUUCUCCACUGCUGCCACCUUUUAAGAAUCCACUCGAAUACCUUGAGCUGAUAUAACAUGUCCCAAAAAUGCUACUUGCUAGCCAGAAUUGGCAUUUGCUAAACUUAGCAUAUAACUGGUGUUCCCUCAAACUUUUCAACACCAAGGUAAGAUGUCAAACAUGUUCUGCUUUAGUCUUAGAGUAUUCCGAAUGGCAUCACCAGAAACUCAUAAUGACCAUAACGAGUCCUGAAAGCUGUUUUAGGGACAUCUUUAUUCUUAAUCUUCAACUGGUAAUAACCAGACCUCAAGUCAAUCUUAGAGAAUACACAGGCACCUCGGAGUUAAUCAAAUAAAUCAUCUAUACGAGGCAAUGGAUAACGGUUCUUAAUUGUUACCCGAUUCAAUUGCCUGUAAUCAAUGCACAGCCUCAAGGUUCCGUCUUUCUUCCUCAUAAAUAAGACUGGAGCUCCCCAGGAUGAAGUACUAGGUUGAAUAAAUCCUUUAUCAACCAAUUCCUGUAACUAAACUUUCAAUUCCCUCAACUCAGCAGGAGCCAUUUUAUAGGGAGUCAAAGAUAUAGGAUUCGUACCUGGAAGUAGAUCAAUAACGAACUCCACAUCUCUAUCUAACGGCAAUCCAGGCAAAUCAUCAGGGAACACAUUCGAAAACUGCCUAACCACACGCACAUCCUCCACACUGCUAGGAGCAUCAUCAUUCAACACCACAUGAGUCAAAUAUGCCUGACAACCUUUCGACAACAAUCUUUUGGCUUUCAUGGCUGAAAUAACACCAUGUCUCACCCCGCUAGGCUCUCCUACAAAGGUAACUUCAAGUAAUCUAGGACGAUGAAAUGUGACUGUCUUUCCAUAACAAUCUAUCUUGGCACGGUUAUAGUGCAACCAAUUAGUGCCCAAAAUUACAUCAAAAUCCACAAUAUCCAACGACAUAAGAUUAGCUGGCAUAAUAACAUCCUCCACCAUCACUGGACAUCCUGGAUAUACCCGAUCCACAAAACAUCUAUCCCCUCUAGGCAUAUAAAACUCUAAAUCAUAUCCUAAAGGUGUAAGAUGAGGUUGCGUCAUUUGAGUAAAUGUAUGAGAAACAACAGAAUGCGUAGCACCACAAUCAAUCAAUACUCUAGCAAAAUGACCAAGAAUAUUUAACGUACCCAUGAUUAAAUCAGGAUUGUUCUGAGCAUCUUGCAGUGUCAUGUUAUGGAUACGUCCCUGAUUCUGCUGUCGUCCCCCACAACCUCUGUUAGCAUGAACAUCUCGUCCAUGUCUUGGCUAACCGGACUGCCUCAAAGAUCUUGCACUGUUAGCAGCAAUCUCUACCUGCUGGGGUUGUCCCCCUUGGUACCACUGGGAUCCACCGGCUGAAUGUGGCUGAUAUGGCAUAGAAUCUCCUGAUACUGAGGGUAACCACCCUGAUAAUGAGGAUCCUGAGAGUACUGAUAUUGUCCUGAAGUAUAAGGAAUGGCGUCGCCCUGAUAAUGAUAAGCACCUCCUCAUUCAAUUUGGGCAUAACCACUAGGUCCUGAAGCUUGCUGGGUCGGCGCAUGUGGUGGGAAGAAAUGUUGUUGGGGGGGCCUCUGCUGAUUCUGAGGGCAAUGAGCAGCUUUAUGCCCUAUCUGUCCACAAGUAUAGCAUGCAUUGCUGCCUCUCCUACACUCCCCAAAAUGCCUAUUAUUACACCUGCAACAUAAAGGAGCACUUAAACCACCAAAGUCCUUCUAUCUUUGAAAUCUCGGGCCUCCAGAAAAUCUACCACCUCUCAUCUGCAUAUUAGAACUCAAACCUCCACUAGAAGAGUUGGAACUGCCAUCGCUUCUCUUAAAACUCUGGGUCUUACGAGGUCCCUGAGAUAAUUGACCUUUACCUUUAUCAUCUCGUCUCUGGUUCCCAUUCUUUUCUUCUUCAUCCUCACUUUCACUAGGCAUGUUCUCUGAGUCCUCAAUCCGCAGUAUAACCUCAUAAAACUCCUCAUAAAACCUCAUAAACCUCACUUUCACUGGGCAUGUUCUUCUUAGUACCCAACCUGAAGCAACGGAGCAUCUCAACCGGAUUAGCAGCAACCUCGGGAUCAUAUCACAACAAAUCAAUGAACCUCUUGUAAUACUCAUUCACCAACAUUUUCCCUUGUCUCAGAUGCGUAAACUCUUGCUUUUUGCGAUCAAUAUACUCUGGGGGAAUAAACCUUUUCUGAAAAAACUGCUUAAAUACUUCCCAGUCCGCAAUCUCCGCUGGGGUCAACUGGUAAGACUUCUGUCUCCACCAGGAUGCAAGCUACUCCCCUAAAAACCAGGUAGUUGUCUCGACCCACCUAUCAAGAUGAAGGUUCCCUUGACUCUGCAUCAUCAAGAAAGUCUUCUCGAUAUGAUUAAGCCACUUCUCUGCUCCCUCAUGUCCUUCAUUUCCCAUGAAAUGAUUCAGUUUCAGAUUAUACACAGUCUCAAAAGGUGUCCUUUGAGGAGGACGGAGCGAAGACUGAAUGGUAUUAGCUAUAGCUUCCCCAAAUUGAGCAAUAUCAGGGAAACUAAGCUCAGCUGAGUGACGGGGCUCUCUACGAGGUGGAAUAGUUCUGACUGAAGACAUCACAAGGAUAGAAUAUUCAUGAACUAUAUAGGACUGCUAAACCUAGGCUCUGAUACCAAACUGACACACCCCGACUGAGAUUAAGGCAUGUUGGCCGUUAUGUGAAGGUGAAGUAGCCAUGUGCACAGUGCGAAAGCAAUAAAAAUAAGAAUUAUACAAAUAAAUAAAAACCAAAAGCUACUAAAGUGCACUAAUAAACAGGAAGUGAUAAGAGUGAGAUACAAGUGUAAAUACUCCUAAUCAAAGCUUAGAAAGUAUAGGUGUAGCCCAGUAGGACAAGUACAAAUUAUACAGUACCAGAAGAUGUCCUACAAUUAUUUUAUUAUGUCAGAACCGCAGAAAUCCUCGUACGCCACCAACAGCAAGCUAACCUAAAACCUGGAGGGGUGCAAAACAAAAAACGUGAGUGGGCAAAAAAAAAUGUUUUCAAAUUCAUAUCAUUUCUCAAAAGUUAUAACCCCUCGCCGUAAAACAUGUAUAAUUUUCCCAGAAAUAGAAUAUAAGCAUAUGCAUAAAUGUAUAUAUAAAUAUCUCAAAUCAUAGUUCACAUAAUCAUAUUCAUAAGUAUGUCAUGCCAAGAUAUAAGCAGAAUAAGUAACUCGUGUGAGAAUAAUUUCAUAGAAAAUAACAUAUUAGCAAAAAUCCCUGUAGAAGUCUGUACGGCUAAAUUCAUAGCUCAUUAGUCAAUCUAGCCAGAGUCACUACAAUGACCUAUACGACACUGCACUGCACACAAGUUGGAACCACUAAAAGGGUCUAUACGACAAAACUGGGUGUAAUAUAGUUAUGCUCAAUACUACGCUCUCAUAAUAGCUGGGCGAUAAAUCGCUAGUCACCUACGAGUCGGAACCAUCUAUGAUGGUUUGUACAACAAGACUGUGCACCUAAAUUGGAUCCAAUGUGAGCAUAUGGUGCAGGAGGUGACAUUAUAUAUAUAGGCAUGUGUCAUAUCUCUGGCUAAAUCACAAUCACCCUAGGUGCAGGUUUAUGAGCUCUAUGUUUCUCAAUUAAUCACAACCGUUAUUCAUAUUCACAUUAAAUAACUCACCUGUGCUUACCUGAGCGUCCACAGCACCACAGUUAUAUAUUAUGCAACAUAUACUAACUCACAUGCUGGACAUAAAGUUAUAUGCAUGGUAAUUCAAGGCAUACUUCAUUUAAAUGCAUUUUUCUAGGAAAAUAUCAAGUAUAUAAAUAUUUACUAAAAACCAAAAGCCCACUCACUGGUAUGUCGAAGGGUCGUAGCCCCCGAGUCACCCUUGACCAUGCUCGUCCUCGGGAUAAGUCUCCCCUAUAUGUGAAAUAACUAUAAAAACGUUAAUUUAAACCACAUAACCAAAACUAACUAAUAACUUCUCAUACAUUGCUCAAAUGGGGUGUUUGAAUAUACCAACGUGAUCUACACAACCUCACGAACAUCCCCAUAUUUUUAAAAUAAUUUUCUGAUCACCCACGCGCCGGCAAGUGCACGGCAAUACAUGCGGCCAUAAGUAUGGAACCCUAAUGGAAACCUUAAUUGCCGUUAGGAAUAUUUCAUCAAAAUAAAGGAAUAUUCCAUCAACUUUACCUGACGUCGUUACUUUCCGUUAAGAAUAUUUCGUCAACUUUGACGGAAUAUUCUUCUGUCUUCUCCGGUGGACCUCGCCGGCCGUCGAUGUCGCCAUCGCCGAAAAACUAGAAAAUGUUUAAACCUUGAUAUCUCAGUCAUUCUUCAUCCAAAUUUCAUGAAACCAGUACCAAAUUGAAGCUCUUAACUUGUAGAAAAUUUCCUUACCUGUUUAAAUCCUCAAAGAUCACGGGAUCUCGCUUGAGAAAUUCGAGAGAAACCGGCCAAACUUGAAACUCACAAUCCUGACGUCCAAAACUACCAAGCGAGCUACCCCGAGCUUCGUGAAGACCUUCUAAAUCUCAUUGUGAGCUUAAAAUCCACUGAAAGCUUCACAUUUACAUGUGCAUGAACAAUGCAUCAAAUCGGACGUUCUUGGUUCUCAUGAUCCCGACGUCCUCUCGACCAACUAAGGGUAUCAAUGUGUUCUUGGGCUUACAAGGAACACAAAACCAACCUUCAAGUCUUCGAUCUGUGACUGGUUGAAGGGUUUGAGGGUUGUCCGUACAAGGUGUACGGAAAAUGGAUGAAUUCCGAGAGAAUAAAAGAUAGAGAGGUCAAUGGCAGUGAUGUGGGUGUGUGUGGUCUAGAUUUUAGGUCACCAACUAAAAACAAGGAAAAUCUAAGUCCUAAUUGGGUCCAAAAUCUAAGUUCUAAUUGGGUCCAAACAAUUAGGACUUAAAAUGAUUGGCCCAUUUCACACACUCACGACCCAACGCUCAAGGGCUAAAUCGACAUUUCACGCCAUCGAUAAAAGUAAUUCGGGACGGGUUGUGACAAGAAGUAUCUGCGGCGGCUAAGGUUUUUAAGUCCAAAUCCCCUUUUGUUCCUAUCCCAAUUCCAUUUCUCCUUCCAUCCCAACCGACCAACCCUUCACCACCACCUAAUUUCUUAAUUUAUGUUCUUUAUUUUUGCAAAUUUCCUAAUUUUUAAAUUUGACUAAGGUUUUUAAUCUCAGCCCAAAUUAACAAUUGAUGUGUAUUGGAUGAAAAUUUUGAAUUUCUAACAAAUUAUAGUUAUUGCUAUGAUUUUGACCCUAAUAUAUCAAUUAUGAUUUUGACCACCAUAAAUUUGCAAUUACAAACUAGGGAGGCAUCUAUAUAUAAGUUACAAGUAAAUUUACGGUCAUCUUUAUAGCACCAUCCUCGUACUCGUUCAGUUAAUUUUGAAUUUAUUACAUAGUGUUGUGUCUUUUGGACCUUGCUUCAUAAGAUUCAAAGACCUACAGGGAUUGAGCUGAGAUUUUAUAUCAAAUUAUAUCUUUUUUGCAAUUAUUUCAUAAAUAGUGAGUAAUUUUGUAGUAGUUCUAGAAAUAUAAUGUGUUAUUUUAGUUUAAUUUCAGAAAUAGUGUGAGUUAUUUUGCUAUAUUUCUAGAAAUAGUAUUUAUUUUGUUCCAUUCCAAAGAUAGUGUGGUUAUUUUGGAUUGUGGUUAUUUUGGUUCAAUUUUAGAAAUAGUAUUAGUUAUUUUGCUCUAGUUCUAGAAAUAGUGUGGGUUAUUUUGGUUCAUUUUUAAAAAUAGUGUUAGUCAUCAUUUUCAGUGCAAUGGGUGCUUUUAUAAGACCAAGCAAGGUCUAAGUUUCAAACCUUAUGAAACUGAACCAAGAAUUAGGCAUUAUUUAGAAAACUUGACCAAUAAGUAGAUGCUAUUUAUGAAACUGGACCAAUAAGUAGACAUUAUUUAUGAAACGAAACUAAGAAUUAGGCAUUUUUCCUAAAACUAAACCAAUAAGUGGAAACUACUUAUGAAAUUGGACCAGACCAAGAACUAUAUACUAUUUAAGAAACAUGACCAAGAACUAGGCAUUAUUGAUGAAAGUGGACCAAUAACUAGGCACUAUUUAUGAAACCGGACUAAGAAAAAGACAUUAUUUAUGAAACUUUACCAAUUACUAUACACUAUUUAUGAAACUGGAUCCAAUAACUAGGCACUAUUUAUGAAACAUGACCAAGAACUAGGCACUAUAUAUGAAAUUGGACCAAGAACUAGGCACUAUUUAUGAAACCGAACCAACAAAUAGUAUAGUACCGUUCAGUUUCAUAAAUAGUGUUUAGUUUCAUAAACAGUGUAUGUGAUGGACGUACGGGUUCCACGCGUCAGGUCUUUUUUUUCUUUAUACUUUACAAUUGUGUCCUUUUCAUUAACACUACUAACAUUCUCAAUGAAAACUGUGAAUCCUACUCUUGACAUUGCACACUCUUUGACGUGGUAUAAUUUUACUUCUACAUUUUUUACUUUUUAACCAACUAAGUUAUAAGUCUUUAUUAUUUUAACCAUAUUUAAAAGGACAAAUUUAGUAAAAUUCGGGAUAUAUGUAUACUAAUAGGAUGUCUAGAUGCUUAUGUUGUCAAUUUGUCAAACGGUACCAUUAUUGAUUGUGUAUUUUUUUUAUUAGAGUAUGUCAUUCUAAUCCUUCUUAAAGAGAACUGCUAGACCCACCCCACAACCUUAUUUACUCACCCCAUCUUAUAAUCUCACCCCUCAUGAAAAGUUAAAAAAAUUAAAACACUCUUUUCUCACCCACCAUAUUCCCAAAAUGUCCAUUAAUUUAACUAUUUUUCAAAAAUUAAAAACUAGUAUGUUUCUAAUGAUUCUUCAAAAGAGUGUCGAUAUUAAACAUGGCUGCCUUGCACUGAAGAAGAACAAAAGUAAAAACACCAACCUCUGAACUUAAAUUGGAAUUACUCUCUCCUUUCAAAAUAUCGUCCAAAAUCAUAGGAAACUCAGUGCCAGUUUUAGGUUCCACUGCAUGUCUUCUCCAGUUCAAGAUGGGAAUUGGUAGUCCUGCACAUCUGUAAUGCCCAACCUCACAAGGCCUUUAAUCCAUGAUGUCCGUAUUCUCCAAUGGAACAACUAGUACAUUUGAAGAUCUGGUGGUAAUUAACAAAGAAGAAGGUUUGUAAUCAACAUUAAAAAUAAAACCAAUUGGGUAAUUUACACUUUAAUCCACUCCCUCGUGAAGGGUUUAAGACUUACAAGCUGCCAAAGAAAGCUAGUGCGUUCUCUUCGUGUUCUUUAACUUUUUUCUUUUGGCUAUAAAAUAUUUAGGAUUAAUUUUUAAUAGGGCUUUAGAAGUCAUUUUACAAAAGGUUAAAUGUGUCAUUAAAUUUUUCAUCAAAAUGUGGGUCAGGAAAUAGGAGUGUGUGGUGGGUAUAACAGCUCUCCUUCUUAAAAUAAGAAGACACUAUUUAUGAAACUGGACCCAAAAUUAGACAAUAUUUAUGAAAUCAAAUCAAGAAUGGGACAUUAUUUCAAAAACUAAACCAAUAAGUGAAAACUAUUUAGGAAACUAGACCAAGAAAGAAACAUUAUUUAUGAAACUAGACCAAGAAAUAGACACUAUUUAUGGAACUAGACAAAAAAUUAGGCACUAUUUAUGAAAUUGGACCAAGAACAAGGCCACUAUUUAUGAAAGUGGACUAAGAACUAGGCACUAUUUAUGAAAUUGAAUCAAGAACUAGGCCACCAUUUAUGAAAUUGGACUAAUAAGGAGACACUAUUUAUGAAAUUAGACUAAUAAGUAGACAUCGUUUAUAAAACCCAAUCAAGAAUGAGGCUCUAUUUCUAAAACUAAACCAAUAGGUGGAAACUAUUUGUAGUAGUUCAAGGUCCGACAUUUCCAGUCUAUUUGUUUCUUCGCCGGAUCACAUUUCUCAACUCACAAUAGUUUUAAGUUUAUACUUUGCUAAUUACAAAAUAAUGUAGUCCUAGGCGUAGACAAGUUAACUAGACAAUGUAAACAUUCAUAUUCAAACUCUUUUUUAUGUAACAAUAUUAUAUUAAAAUAUCACUCGAUUGGGAAAUAUUGUUACAAGCAAAUCCCACAUUUGCGGAGUUUGAGAGAAAAAGAUGAUUCCACAUUUCCGCUUGUGCGGCAAAGUCAACGAUGAUGAUAUAUGUAAUCACCAUCAUUAUUAAGAGGUUAAAAAAAUUCCCUCAUAUAUCUUAAAUCCGGUUUCCUUUUCCUGCCCAACACCAAUUGUAUUAAAAAAAUUAAAAUAAAAGGCAUGCACAAGAACAUGAUCAUGAUAAUUUUACCGGAUCAACGAAGGGAGUCAUGAUGAACCAAGGUGCAACGCUAUUGGUCCUUGUAUUAUCAUUCGCCCACUCACAUGCCAAGUUUUUUGCUAAUUGAUUCAUGGCACUUCAGAUACAAUAGAGAAAAGCCAUACUUUAGGGUCUUCUCGUCCUGAAGAAGAAGAAAAAAAAAAUCUAGCCACUCAUCUUUCUCCUUUUACCAAACCUUAAAUCUACAAACUCCGUAGUUGCUGCCCUUUGCUCCGAUUGGAGGCUGGUGGCAAUCUCUCUCCCCAUUUUUCUAGCCUCCCUCCUUUAUCUUCUCAUAGAUGGUUGCUUGUUUAUUUUUCGUUUUAGUAUUUUCGUCAAUAAGUGUCUCCUUGGUGAUGUUUUGUGUGAGUCUUUCUUCAUGAGUAUUUUAGUUUUGUAUUGGUGUGUUGUCGGCUCCUUAUGUGUAUAUUUUGUUGGAAUUGGUUCACAGAUUGUGUUGUGCUCAAAAUUUAUGUUGGUGUGGAUACUAGUUGGUUCGUUGUCAGUUCCUCUUUGAAGUAGGAGUUGUUGUUGUUGUCAAAGAGUGUCCUCAUGUUCAUUAUAUUCGAGGCUUUGUGCGCAGAAGUUCUCAAAUGCUAAUUGGCGAAGUGCUUGAUCUUUUCACCAGGAAUGGAGUUUCUUUUACUUUGAGUUUUAUUUGAGUCCUCUGAAUUUGGGUGUGGAUGAGUUCAAAACUUUGAUGCAUUACUUUACUUAUCCUUGGGCUUGUCUCGCCUAAUUCACGAGUAUGGUGACAAUUAGUUAGCCAAGUUAGCCUUUUAUGUUUUGUUAAAGUUUCUUUUGAUUGAAAACUUUUUGAAUGUUAUCUUGAAUGUCCUCUUUCAAAUUUGUAUCAAUUCUUAAUAUUAUAAUAAAACCGCUAUCACCACUACAACAAAACACUUUGCUCGGCGAAAUAAGUUCGUUGCGCAAAACCUUGUGCGACGAAAUUUUGAUCGCGCAUGGUUCCUCUUGCAAAGCUUGUGACGAUAAGGUUUGCGCGACGAAAAUUAAUCUUUGUCUUUGCGCGACGAAUUAGUUUAUCUCGCAAAGUAUCUUUGCGUGACGAAGUAGUUUGUCGCGCAAAGUAGCUUUGUGUGACGAAGUAGUUUGUCGUGCAAAGUAGCUUUACUUGACGAAAUAUUUUUAAUUUUAAAUUUUUGUUUUUAAUUUUUUUUAAUUAAAAUUAAUUAAUUUAAUAUUUUGCGUGACGAAAUAUUUUGUUGUGCAAGGUUUUUGACUUUUUGUUUUAUUAUUUCUCUUAUAUUAAUUGUUUACACCACGAAAUAUUUGGUAGCGCAAGAUUUUUCGAAUUUUUACUUUUCUAAUUUAAUUUAAUUGUAUGAUUUUAUUUUUUUUAAUAUUUUAAUUUAAAUUGACAUAUUCAAAAUAAAAUUACAUAUGAAAAAUAGUGAUCAAAUUAUCCAAUAUAUAUAAUAUAUUCAAAAUAUACACAAAAAUUAACAAAGUACAAUAAUAAAAUCUUAAUACAACUCUUUUGUGGUGGUAGUGGUGGGGAAUAUGUUUCGAUAGCGUCAUAAUCCUUAACUUUAGCUGUCAAAGUUUUGACGAUUCCCUACAAAAAAAAUAUAUAUGGUCAAAUAACAAAAAAUUGGCAUAAUCUCCCCUAAAAUUGGUAUACCCCAAAUCCGACCCCAAACUCCACUCCUCAUCCUAUACUCGAGCCCAAACCCCGCACCAAACUCAAAACUAACUCCAAAAACACAUAUUAAUGAAAAAAAUUAAAAUUUGGGAAGAAUAUACCUUUUGGCAAGAUUGAGAGUGAGUGAGAAUAAGAGGGAGGAGUAAGUGUGAGAGAAUUAGAGGAGAUAGUGAGAGAGAGAUGAGAGAGUGAGUGAGAGUGAGAGAUGGUUAAGAGAGAUUACGUGAGAGGAGUGAGUGUGAGAGAGAGGGUCAGAUUUGGGGAGAGGGAAAGAGACAGGAGAGGUAAGAGUAGAGAAAGACAUUGAGAAAAUUGUGGAUGAGUUAUUUUGGUUUUAAAAUCGUAUCACUUUGCGUGACAAAGGAUAUGAGUUUGCGCAACGAAAUAUUGGUUGUGCAAAGUCUUAAAAAAAAUUUUAAAAAAAAUCCCGCGUCCUUUUUUUUGCCCGCCCAAAUUUUUCGAGUUUUGCGCGACUAAGUAUUGGUCGUGCAAAGUUUUGCGAGACCACUAAAAAAAAUUCCCACGGCCCAUUUUUGGUGCCCGCCCAAAUUUUUAGAGUUUUGCGCAACGAAGUGUUGGUCGCAUAAAGUUUCGUUCAACCACUUGAAAAAAAUGUCCCGCGUCCCAUUUUUGGUAAUUUUUAGAGUUUGGUCGCGCAAAGUUUUGCGUGACGAAAAAUUGGUUGCUCAAAGUCUUAAAAAAAAAUUUAAUUCUCGUGUCCCAUUUUUUGCUCCUGUCCAAAUUUAAGGAUUUUGCGUGGCGAAUUAUUGGUUCGUCGCGCAAAAUUUAUAAAAAUAUUUUUAUAAAUAAUAAAAAAUUUACUGAAAAUGUGACUUUACUCCCUUGAAAUUCAAUUUUUUUUUAUAUAAAACCCACAAUAAUAUAUUUUUCUAACAAAAACCCGAUCUGUACUACAAUAAUAAAUUUAAAGCUACAUAAUAAAUAUAUAUACCAUUCAAUUUCUUAAGACCUUUAGUGGCAACAUAUAUAGAUCCAAUAUCUAUUGAGACCACACCUGCAGUAGAGGACAAAAAACGAUGUUAGCAGCUCCUGCAGCUUUGAGAAAAGGAUGUGAAAGUUGGCACAAGUGGUAAGCAGAUUCAAGAUUGGUACUCAUUAUGAAUGAGUAAUCUUUAGCUGUGUACUCUAGCGUUGCUUUCGGUUUGACAAUCCCCACAUUGUUUUGUUCAUGCAGGAAAUCUCACGGGGAGGGGUCCUUGGCUCGAGCACACAGCUCCCUGAGGAGUUGGAACUUUGGUUGUGUUGGAAAAUAUUAGUAUUUAGGUUUACCUUAAUGUUUAGAAUUAGGUUUUGUUAGAGAUUAUGAUUAUUUUAUUAUAAAUAGGGUGAUUUGUUAUUCAUUAGAAAAAAAAAAAAAAAAUCAUUCACAAUGUAGUCUCUUAGAGUUUUGUAGCCGUUUCGGCAUUCUAGUUUGUUUAAUAAUAUUUUUAUUAUUUUGUUAGUCUUAUCCGUUGCACACUCUGAUAUUCAACUUGGUAUCAGAGCAGGCUCAAUCCUUAAGGAUUUGAUCUGCUUUGGUUGUUAUCAGUUUUGUCUAGUAUGUUGCUUCUGUUCUGUUGUUGUUUAGGUUUAGUUUGAUACUAAAAAAAAAAAAAAUUGAUGAAGCUUUGUCGUGCUUCGCGGUUUUCCAUCCGCAUCAGAUCACCUGGCACCUGCAAGCACACCGUCACACCACCAUUUGCUGCCGCUUGAACCCACCUUCAACCUCGAUCCAUCAUUGUCUUCCUCACUGUCCACCAUUGGUUUUGACGAAGCCCAGAUCCGAGAACCCAAACUCGGAUCGAGUUCAUCUUUGCCCUGCACUCUGCCUGCACUUGUACACGCAAUCAACUUCCAUAAGUCGAAUCUGUCAACCCUUGGAUCACUGCCGCUAUUUCAAAUCUGCAGGCCCAUACACCAUGAACUAGACCCAUGAACCCAAUCUGCACGCUGUCGUUGCAACUAGAAACCCAGCACAUCUGCCGUUCGAAUCCACCCCGCCGCCAAGCCUGCAACCACACCUCGGAGUCUGAGUUUAGAAUGUUGGUCUGCAAAUUUUUUGCACCCAGGUUGCCACCUACUGCUGCACCCUUGAACGCUACUGUUGGAACACGCUCUAGCUGCAACCUGAGAGUUUGUCUCCGCCAGUCUAGAAACAAAAAUAAGGAAAAUGAGAGAAAAUAAAAGGAAAAAAUUGUUUGCUGUUAGUUUUAGGCCCACAUGAGCAAGAAAAAAAAAACAUAGUUAAGUUUGUUUUUUGGCCACACAAGUUGUUGGCAUUGUUCGCACAAUUGAGAUAUGGAAAUCUCGUCCGUUUAGUGACGAGUUCUUUCCAUAGUCUCAAUACUGGCCAGUUUGCCAGCAAGAAUCAGUUUGCUAGUUCGUCUGUCUGUCCGCGUUGCAGAGCCUGCCUGUCUGUCUGUCAACGUUGUGGAACCUGCCUGUCUGUCUGUCCACCUAACGGAGCCAAUCUAUAUCUGCUUGUUUGCAAACCCAUGUCGUAUGCCACCAUGAGUUUGACGGGGGGUGUUGGAAAAUAUUAGUAUUUAGGUUUACUUUAAUGUUUGGUUUUCUAAGCUUAACCCAUUAAAAUUAGGUUUUGUUAGAGAUUAGGAUUAGUUUAUUAUAAAUAGGGUGGUUUGUUAUUCAUUAGAAAGAAAAAAAAGUCAUUUACAGUGUAGCCUCUUAGGGUUUUGUAGCCGUUUCGGCAUUCUAGUUUGUUUAAUAAUAUUUUUAUUAUUUUGUUAGUCUUGUCCGUUGCGCACUCUGAUAUUCAACUAUUGUCGGACUCCGACUUGCUGAGAUGCUGCAAAGGGAGGAUAAAGUUAUAGUUCUAAAAGGUACCUUUGUGGGGGCCUUAGGUGUAAGCCUUGAGGCUCGUAAUCAAAACUAAGUGCUAAGGCGUGCCACUGCCAUCUCUGUAUGACAGAUGUAGAACAAGUGUAUUUAAGCCGAUUACUUGCGCCCCAAGUUAUUCUGACUUCUUGUUAUCAAAGGAUUGUUGUAGAUGGGUUAAGUUUACAUUAAGGUCUUUUCUAUGCCUUGAGAUCAAGGACUUUUAGUUCGUUAUCUUGCAUGCUUAAAGGGUGGAGGUCCAGAUCUGCUUAAGUCAUCAACUUUAAUUUACUUUUAAUCUUUUUAUGACAAUAAAACCACUAAGUGAAUCAAAUCUGAGAACUGAUGGAACUAUGGAUCAUCGAAAGACUGGAAAUGACUUGAAUAGAUACUGGGGAAUACAUUAUAACACCAGAUCUAUUAAUUGAAAGACAAAACGAGGAGAGGCGGGCAAUGUUAAAUGUCAUGCGGUCUCUUCUUUGUUGUAGUUGCAAAGGGUUAGGUACUAAAAGAGAGAUGAGUGGUAAAUGAGUUUACACAAGAGAAUCGAUACUACAUCAUUUAGAGAAGGUAGCAAAGCUUUUACAUAGACAAAAGAUGUCUUUCUAAAGGAAGUCUAAGGCUAAAAGGGUUGCAGAAUCUGGAUAAAGCACGACUUUCUGGAUAUUUACUUGACUGAGAGGCAAGUUGUAUGUUUGUUUGUUUGAUUGGUUGAGUGUCUAUAUCUCUGGGCCCUCUUUCUCCUUUUAUAGUUGAAUUAACCCGACUGUACUGUUUCUGCUAUUGCCCGAAAGCAACUGAUGGGUAGUGAGUUAUCAGCAUUUUUACAUGUUCUGCCAUUCAAAAAGUGUUUUUGGGUAUGGAGUAGGUGGAUUUCCAUCAGUUGUCACUUCUCUUGUAAGCACCUAACCUUUACAUUAAAUGAGGAGCCAUCAUUUUGUCUCAAGAUGGGUAUCUAGGCUCGACUCUGGGCCUCCGGGCAAGAUCUCCUUUAUUGGGCUCUUUUGGACUUUCAUUCCUUUAAGUCCAAAGUUAAAUAUUAAUCCAAACAUAUUUAUCUAUAACAAGACAUUAUUGGAAAGGUGUAGCAUAACAUAACGAUUUUAGUUUAUAUGUAUUGCUGAAAAAUGCAUUAAAGUUAUGUGUAUUAAACAUAAAAAGUAUGUACAUACAUGUGUGGAACGUUUGAGUUUUUAAAAAAGUACAAUUUUGCAAAUUAUGGAAAUGUUUACAACAAACAGAAAUAUUUUAAAAAAUAUAUAUUUACAAGGAUAUUAAGUUUGCCAUCAAAGAGUGAUGAUCAUUCAUGAUUUAUGCAUAUAUGUUAAUUCAACUAAUCAGUCUUCUACUUACAAAGAUGUUAAGUUCGCCAUCAAAGAGUGAUGAGACCUUGUUUAUAAGCUCCUCUCUUUGGGUUUUUGACACCACAUCACAGACCGAGCCAGUGACUUGAAAACCCUUCUUCUCCCAUUCAGUGACUUGAAAACCCUUCUUCUCCCACUGACUCAGGCAGUCAUUAAGUUCAAUUUCAUUUCGCGAAUUCUUCCACUAUUGCAUACCUAUAUAAUUACAUUAUCAACUUCAACAUAGAGUAGUAAAAUUAAGAUAAAAAAUUGGAACACUUGUCCUUAAAUUUUGGUAUCUCAUUGAGCUUUAGUCAUUGAAUUAAACAUUUGUGGAUAUUGGUCUUUGAACUAGUAGCCGGAGCAAUAGUAUUUUUGGAUAACUUUCUUAUCACUUAUGUCCAUUAUUUUUCCCCUAUUUGUUUCUUAUUUUGAAAGGAAGUUCUAACAAUUUUAACCAAUAGGACUAUUGUUUUAUAUUGUGACAAGUUUAUGAACUAAAGUCUCCAGUUGAACCAAUUCAAGAUCAAAGCUCCAAUUAGAAAAAAUAAAGUGAACAUUGCAUUGCAUGUAAAAGAAAAACUGAAAAUAUCCCGUCUCUCUCCUCUCUCCCAUUCGAUGUACUCCCUUCCCUAUUCCCUCUUCAAUCCUCUUUUCUUUGUUGCCUUUCCAGUCCCUUCCCGCUUUUAUCCAUCAUAGCCACCACCUCUAUCCUUCUCCCUCCGGCCAAGACAAAUCGAUCUCUCCUGCCUCUUCAAUCCUCUCUUCUUUGUUGCCUCUUCAAUCUUAUCUCUUCUCACUUGCAUCCAUCAUAGCACCAUAGCCACCACAUCUUCCCUAUGGUCGUUGGAUCUCGGGUUUGAGACCGCCAACAUGAUUAGCCUCUGUCAGCAUGAGUUUGGAGGAAGGACUUGGUAAAUAGCCAAAGGAGUCGCCGCUAGGGAAGUGAGGGAUGCGGUGGUAAGGAAAUUGGUCUUUCGCUGUUGGGGAUGGGAGGGAUGCGGUGGUCGGGUAAUUGUUUGGGCUGGGCGUUUGACUUUUUCUAUUUGGAUUAGUUUUGAGAAAAUGCAUACCAAACAAGGUUUUGAAUUUAAAAAUUUUAAAUCAAAACAUGUUAUUUUUAGAAAAAAUUAAAAUUUUGAGUUUCGUUCUCAAGUUAGAUACCAAACAGGCCCUAAAAGAUUAAUGGUUUUAACUAUCCAAAUUUAGAGAAGCUAACCCAAUUCCUUUGGUUCCACCAGUGACGAGCAGUCAUUCCCUCAAGAGACCAUCUUCUGCCUCUGCUGCUCAUCUCUCUCUCUCUCUGCUUUCUAACCCUCAUGCACAAUACUAGUGGUGCUGCCAUUUAAUACUGGUUUUGAUUACUACCAGAUAUUGGGUGGCCAGCAUAAAAAGUACACGAACUGUUUCAUGCAUGCACCUACUUAGUAGCUGCUCGGAUCCUGAAAAUCCGAUUACAAACACAUCGGCCAUUGCCGCUACUGUUUGCUCCUAGUAUUUGCGGUAUGCAUAAUUAUAGUUAUGAUGAUUUUUUUAAUUAAGUACACCGUACACGUCGAGAAAUGCUAGAAAGAUUUUUUUUUUUUUUUUUUUUUUUUACUGAAAAUGUAACUUUAGCUUUUGAAAUUUAACUUUUUUUUAAUACAAUCUAACAUAAUUUUUUUUUGUUCGAAUAAAAUUUAGUGACUAGACUCUACAUAAGCAAAUUCAUUAAUUAUAUUUAACUAAUUAGACAUCAUACAUCUUUUCAAUGCCGAAAAUACCGCUAUUUAAAUAUUUGAUAUACACAAUUAAUUCCAUGCCAAUUGUAAAAGGAUUAAUAAUUUUACAAAAGAAAAAUAAACAUUAAUGUUAUAAAUUCAUUGUCUAAUAUAUAUAAAAAUAAAACAUGCCUAUAAUAGGCCAAUAAGCCUAAUAAUUGACUCAUGUGCAUGUUUUAGCACAUUAUUCAUUGCCUAACAUCCCUAAUAUAUCCAAUAAUUGACUUAUCCCUAAUAUGCCUAAUUGUUGUGACCUAAAAUUUAGAGAGGGAGUGUGUGGCGUAGAGAGAAGAAAAAGGUUUGAGGAAUUAUGUGAUGUGAUUUCUUAUUGUUGGAAUCAAGUUCACGCACCUUAGCAAUUGUGAGCAAGCCAGAGACCCAAUAGGGUGUUGGUCAAAGGUCCUUUGAUGGUCAAGUUAGUGAGCAAUAAUAAAACUUAAGCAGUGGGCAAGAAAGUUAGAGUGCAAUAAUUGCGUUACCAGAGACGAAUCCUAAAAGAGUGUACUUAUAGCAAUGGGGAGAAAGACCUUUUUAGGAUAUAACUUUGUAUUACACCAUGAGAAUCCAGAGGAUAUCUAGAAGUAGAUAUUGCAUCAUCUUGGGAGUGUCAUUACUUGCGGAGCACGCCAAUUCCUAGAUUGUUGGAACUUCAAGAAUAUGAGAAACCAAGUUGAUUCCAUGUUGGAUCAGGUUCUCAUAUCUUGCGGAACAAGCAUGGUGAAUCUCAACGAAGUCAUUCGAGUUUCGCCACUGCUGCAAAACAAGAUGAUGGUGGCAUCACUACUUUGUUAAUCCAGCUUUGCUCAGAGCUGUUGAAUCCAUGAUCGGACAUCUAAGGUACUUGUAUUCUGAUUUUCCUGACUCCAACCUAGAAAAUCAUGGUGUCAUACUCAUGCCUAAUUCCUUUAUUUCUAGUAAUAAGGAGGAGAUAAUAACUUGCCCUCCAAGUAAUACAAAGUCAGAGAGGAAAGAUCUUCUAGAUCCUAAAGGAUUUCUAACUUAUCUUUACUAGGAUUUACAUAAUCGCACUACGUGAAAUAUUAAUUAUAACACUCAUCCUUAAAUGUGUAAAUACUCAAGCAGUAGACGCAUCAGAUCUUCAGAAACAUAUGAAAGUAAGGCUUGCCCAACAAAAUUUUGCCCGAUGAACCAAAUUUCGUCGAUUUUUUUAGUUGGUAGGCCAAAGAUGGUCAACAUUUAGAGUUUAUUCAAAACCUUUACGUGACGAAAAGUGAUCGUAGGGCAAGUCACAAUUCAUCGGGCAGAAUUUUGCAAGUCACACUUCUCCUCUUAGCAACUUCAGUUAUGGAGGUUUAGGGGGUAGUAUUGGUGGUAAAAAUAAGAUUUGUAAGUACGAGAAGGGUAAGGAUUGGAAGUCAAUUGUAGGGGUUCGCAGCAACUAUAACAUUUCUAACGGAAAUAUUAGAACUAGUAGUUGGAAGGGAUAAGGAUCGCCCUGUGGAGUACUUAAGUAAUUUCUUUGUGUCGAAGAAGGUGAUGACCAAAAGUUACUCAGAUUUCUUACAUGCAUGUGGAAAAACAUGGAGAGGAUGCCACCGUGAUGAUAAAAAAUAUCCCAACCAAAUACAUGAGGCAAUGCAAAAUCAGAUUUGUCUUGUAUCACAGCAUUGACUGAUAUCAUUUAAAAUUUUCUUCUUUUCUCAAUUCUUUUUGUAAUGGUUCCAAAGCUCUAAACCCUAUGCAUGAGCCUUUGUUCAUGAAAGAAUGCAUUGUACUUAAUAAAAGUAUAGAAUAAACUCUAAUUGUUUGGAAUCCCUAACAAAUGCAUGAGGCAGUGCAAAAUCGAAUUUGUCUUCUAUCACAGCAUUGUUUGAUAUCAUUUAAUCCAAGAGUGAUGAUGAGUAUAAGUGUAGUCCCAUUUUCAUCAUUUCAGGGAUCCUAUAUCUAGAUAUGUGAAAACAAAACCCUAAUCUCUGCUUCAAUCCCUACUGUUGGACUCAUAUGUGCUUCUACUUUAUAAACACUCAUUCUUUCUCCAUUUUUCAACUCACUCAACUCCACCAUUAUGAAAAAAUCUCAAUCCACAAUCCAACCGUCAAAUGUAAACACAUAUACUUUGAGAUCUCCUACACCAAAAAUCAUCUAAAAAAAUGUUCGGAGAUUUGGUAACAGAACAAAAUCGUUCGAUGGUUAGUAACAAAAAAUCACGAUUUAACGGUCGUUUUAGCUCCGAUUUUGUUGAUUUUUUACAAAUCCUCAACCCUAGAAGAAUAAGAUGUACGAACACGAUCAUCAAUCUAAAAUAUUUAAAAUAGUGGAUACACCAAAAACUUACAUUCUACUUAAUGGAAGUACAGAAUAAACACUAAGUGAUUUGGAAUCCAUUCUUUACAAAGGGACACGCAUUCUACGAAACUAGUUUUCAUGAUCCAAUCAUCGAACAUGUUUGCAUAUACUUCAAGUUCUUCUACACCAACAAUCAUCCAAAAAAAUGUUCGGAGAUUAGAUAACGAAACGAAAUCAUUAGACAGUUAGAAACGAAAAAAUCAAGAUUUAAUGAUCGUUUUAGCUCCAAUUUUGUACAAGGACCCAAAUUGAAAGUAAAAACACACACUAAAUUUACAUGAUUAUGAAAUUCGAUGAUUUUUUUUUAACCGUUUGAACAUAAUGUUCAAAACUCAAGAAAAUUCUUUUUCAAAGUUGCCCAACGAAAUACUUGAAUUUGUCGGGCCAAAUUCCUAAAUUUUGUUGGCUAAAGUUAUGUAUUCGUCGGGCAAGGUUUAAAAGAACACCCCAAGAAUUUCCCAAAAAUUUAAAUUUGCCCCGCAAAAUAGAGGUAACCCAACAAAAUAUUCCAUAAGUUUGUCGGGUAACCCACCAAUUUUUAACUAAAUUGCGUUUGCUCGACGAAAAUCUAGGGUUUUGAACACAUCAAAAUUUUAAAAGCUUUUGCCCCAUAAACCUUCUGUCGGGUAAAGGUUUAAAAUGUUUUAACAACCGUAACCUUCUUCUUUCUUCCUCCUCAUACCGUGCAACUCUCAAAUCCUCUCUACAAUCUCUGUCAGUGUCAGCCCUCCCUCUCAAUCUCUCUCUCAGUGACCCACCACGACGUGCCGUGAGCCACCAAUCUAAAUAUUGAAUUAUAGCGGUGGGUUCAAAAAAUCGAAACCGAAAAAAACCGAGAACCAAACCGAACCGAGACCGAAAAAAACCGAACCGAAAACUGUCAAACCGAAUAUGGCUGGUUCGGUUUUGGUUUUUGAAGUUUGGAAACCGAACCGAAUAUAUAUUUAAUUAUUUUUUAUAAUAUUUUAAUUAUAAAAAUUAAAAAAAUCUCUAAAGUCCUGGAGGCAUGUGGGUUUGAACCCGUGUGCUCCAGUUGAAAGGUUUCAAUGAAACCAACAUGGCAACUGGUUUUGUUUUGUUAUAGUUGUAUAACUAAACUAUUUAUAAAGAUAUAAAACUAUAGUCUUUUGUGCAAUUAGAAAUCAACAAAACCCUAGCCACUAGUAGUAGCAACCAGACCUUUUCUUUUUUCAUUCCCCUCUUCUCUCUCUCGUCCCUGCGCCUCCAGACUCCCUCCUUGUCCAUGCCUCCAAUUUCUCCAUUCUUCUUCAUUCUUCUCUCUCCGUUUCUCGAUCUUCUCACUCCAGGGUAAGAUCUCCAAUCUCUCUUAUUUAUUUUGUCGAUUUAUGGGUUUUUUUAGAGUAAAUUCUAUGGAGGGAAUCUGAAAUUUGGUGUAAAUUUAUGGGUUGUUGUUUUGUUUUGUAUUGUAGAUUUGUUUGAUUUUUGUGUUGUGAGAGUCUCACCCAUUUCUUUCCCUUUCUUUUUUUUUCUCCCCUGAUAUCAUUAUUUGCUUAUCCUCUUUCUUUGCCUCAGCGGCAACACCACCACCACAACCAGUUGCAGCAACUGCAACAGCACCACCUCCACCAGCUGUGGUGGUCUUGCCGCCCAACACAGCCAACAACUAUGCAGCGACCACCUUCAUCUAUGCUUGAGAGGGCUCCGGAUCUGCGGAGUGUGGAGAGAAAGGGUAAAUUUGUAGCCGAAUGCGGAAAAAAAUCUGCUUCAAGCUCCAGAUAUUAAAAAAAAUCAUGAAAAAACCAAAAAAAAAACCGAAACCGAAAUCAAACCGAAAAAAAUCAAAACCGAAAAAAACCGAAAAAAAAUCGGACCGAACUGAACCGAACCGAAAUUUUGGUUCGGUUUCUGUUUUAACAAAAAACCAAACCGUUUCAAACCGAAUCCAGCCCUAUUAAAUUAUAUUGAAAAUAAUUUUCUAAUUUUCACAUUGUAUAAUAAUUAAAAAAAAUUCUUUUAAUUUGUUUUAGCCAUCUGGCACAAAUUUGGACUCCAAGUCAGCAAAAUGUGGUCUAUGUUCUUGUCAUGUCAUCACUUAACAGUCAAUUUAACAGAUUAAUUAACGGUUGUAUGACAUUGCUACGAAAUCGAGAGUUGUUGUAUGAAGUUGAAAAAAAUAAAUGAAGUUGUACGAGAGGACAUGUAAUUUACCCAUUGAAUUUUUAUGUAAGAGGUUAUCAAAUUGAGACGAAAAGCCACAUGAUGUUACCUACAUAUACCUUUUAAAUCUUUCUUAAAUCUUUCAAUUUCUAGGAGUAAAAAUUGUAUUCCCCUCUUAUUGUUUUUUUCCUCUUUUUGAUGAUCGGUACGUACGCUGGAGAGGUUUGAAGUUAACUCGUUAAGUUUUUAUUGUUUUUGUCUCAAGAAUCGUGAUGAAAAUUUGUUCAUCCAAACUUUGGAGCACUUGAUUUAAACUCGGAUGUAAUGGUAAGCACAUCCUUUCUUGCUGCUGUGGCUAAGUCUGGAUAUUCACCUCUUGUUAGCUCGCUUGGCAGUCUAAUUUUGGAUAAAAUUUGAAAGCGAUUGAUUUCAAUCUAAUACAAUUCUAAAUGCCAACCUGGGAAUAUUUUUGCUCAGCUCAAGUGAUGGUGAUGAUCAUUACUCUAGUUAUCACCGUUGAAUUAUUUUAAAUUUUGAGAUCUGUGUAGUAGAUAGACGUAAAUUUCAAAAUAUUAACUCAUCCAACGGUAAUAAGUAUUGUGGAUGCAAAUUUUCUCCUCCUCGAUCUUGGACGAUUUUGCACCUACAAAACAACUAGCACCUUAGGUUAAGGCCAAAAGCCUCACGCGCCCACGAUGAAUGGGGGGGCUUUGGCCGAAGAACCUCCGAUGCCAAAGUUAGAAUUUUGGAGAGAAAUAGUGUUUAGAGUGUUUGUGAUUUUUUGCAAGAGGUUGUGGAUUAGUGUUUUGUGAAAAUGGUACCCAAUUUAUAGGAGAGGAAAGGAUGAUUUAUUUUGGGGGGUUAUGGAGAUAGUGGGCUAGUUAUUUUUAGGGAGUUAUGGAAAUAAUUGGCUAGUUAAUUAGCAAAUAGUAAUAACCUAAUUUACUAGCUAUUUGAAUGUCACAAAAAGGGGGAGAAAAUGGCAGCCACCAACAGGAAAUAAAGGGCAUGACCGGCCUAGUGGGUUUUUGGUUAGUUUGUGGUUUAAUUAGCCACUUUAAUUGGCUAAUUAAAUAUGAAAAGAAAUGUUAUAGUAAUUAUGGUAUUGAUUGGCUAAUAAAAGGGAAGAAAUGGUGGGAAAAGGUAACAAAAAAGGUAAUGGUUUAGGUUUUGAAUGGGAUAGCCGGCCCUCUAGUAUUUUUAGGUUUGAGUGGAUGUUUCAAAUUGAUAAUUAAGGGAUUGAUUAGGUAAUUAAUCCCUUAAUUAGUCAAUUAUUAUGAUUUGAGGAAAUAUGAAAGGAAUAAGUAUAUUAUUUAGCUAAUUGAUUAGCUAAAUAAUGAAAUGGGAAAUAUAUGAAUAAAUUAAGUUUUAAGUUGAUACCUAUUUUGGGCACUUUUGACUUGGUUGAAAAAUGAUUGCCCACUGCUCGCGCGUAGGAAUCCCGGUAUGCCUCAAGGGUAUUUUUGUCCUCUUAUGUUCAAAAGUCCACGUGUCGCCUAGUGAAUAUUAUUUGCUCCACAAGUAUGGUGGUGAACAUUACUAUCACUUGAGGGUGAUGAGCAGAAAUGCAUCUAAACCAAACCAGGUUUAUAAGCUCUUCUAAUACAGUGAAAGUUAAAUCAAUAGACCAAAUGGUCGGCGGUCUUUCAUUCACUUAUUUAAUUAGAACAUUAAUGUCACUUAAUUUCACAUAAAACUAAAGCUCACCACUUUGUUUUUUCUUUUUUCGGAGAACUAAAGCUCACCACUUUGGAAUUAGAUAAGAGAUUUUGUUUUUCCUGACCUCAAGCACUGUCUACUACUACAUAUCGAACUAUUUGCAUGUCAUGUUUCUUGGAAGAGCAAGCCAUUGACAGUCACCCCGCCGUCGACGGUAAUAGUUUGCCCAGUAAUGUAAGAGGCUGCAGGUAGGCAUAGAAAUGCUACCAAGGAAGACACUUCUUCUGGCUCUCCUGGACGUCCUAAAGGGCACCGAGAAUUUAUCACCGCCGAUUUCUUUUUAUUUCCGAGAAACUGCAUGCAUAUAGUGUGAGAAUGGAUGUAAUGACAAAUAUAUUAGUAAUGAUUUUAAUGAUUUGUCAAGCUCUUCAAUAAAAAAAAUAAGAGUAGAAGUAUUAUUUUUAAAUUGGCAAUCCUGCAUUGUUUUUUUUUUUUCUUUCUAUUUUCAUGUUUUAAUACUUUUGAUUUUAAUUUGAGCAAGAUAAUUCUCUUAAUGUGAAUUGACAAGUAAUUCAUUGCCAUAACUAAGCUAUUAAAUAAAUAAUGAAUAAAAGAUGAUAAAAAUUUGGCUUGUUUCUUCAAGAAUCAAAAUAUUACUCCCAAAAACAAAUCCAAUAAAUUUAAAAUCAAGAGUUGAAUUCUUUAUUUUAUAUGAGUCCCACUACUGUUCUGAUUCCUCAAUGUUUAUUAAACACAUGAAUAAUUUCUUUUCACCACCAUCCAACUUCUUAUUGUGAUUCUGAUUCCGAUUACGGACUUCGAAAGACCCAUCAAUGAAAUGUUGAUUGGCAUUGAAGUUAAAGCAUGCAUCAUGACAUGAAGGGACUUAUAGUGUAAGUGACUAAGAGAAUUUACCUAUGUUCCUUAGGUCUUACUUUGAUUUUCCUCCCCCAAGAUCGGUUGUAUUUAAAGACAAAUGAAAAUAAAAAGCAUGCACGAGCACGUGAUGAUGAUGAUCUUACCAUUUCACCAAGGGGAGUGGUGAUAAACCAAGGUGCAACACUGUUGGUCCUUAUUUUAUCUUUUGCCCACUCACAUGCCAAGUUUUUUGCUAAUUGAUUUAUUGCACCUGAGAGAUACAAUACAGAAAAGCCACACAAUUUAAGCUCAAUUCUUCAACUGCCUGCAAAACACAAAUUAUCUAUUGGGUUUUAUUUUUACAUAAAGUUUUAAAAAAUAUAUAAGGAAAAUAAUUAAGCACCUUUAGUUGCAGAAUAUAUAGAUCCAACCUCUAGUGAGACCACACCAGCAACAGAGGAUAAAAAAACGAUGUUAGCAGAUCCAGAAGCUUUGAGAAGAGGAUGUGAAAGUUGGCACAAAUGGUAAGCGGAUUCAAGAUUGAUGCUCAUCAUGAAUGAGUAAUCUUCAGCGGUGUACUCUAGUGUUGCUUUUGGUCUGUUAGCCCCCACAUUGUUUAUCUACAGCCACACAUUUUUGGAAAGGUUUAGCAUAAAAAUACAAUAGUCUCAACUUUGUUGAAAGGGGCUAUGAGUUCAAAGCUAAUGGACGACAAUUAUAAAUUAGGGGACUUUAACUAAAAGCUUCUCGUACUGUUUACUUUAACGAAAAUCUAUAUUUUUACACUAAAAAGUCCAUCCUAGUACUAUUCACUUUACCUUUUAUUUUGUCCUUAUCAUUAAAACUCAAAGUUUUCAAUCCCUUUUCAUUAGUUUUCCUUAUAAAUUAAGGAAAAAAGUGCACUUCUUCUACUGGAUUCAAAUUCUUAAAUUUCACUAAAAAGUUAAAGCUUUCUCAAACGACUAGAUACUGAAAAAGUUGAGGUUUCCUCAUAAAAUCAGAUUAGCAAUAUAUGGAGUAUCCCAACCUAUUAUAACCCAUUGCAAGGUUUCUCUUUUCACUAAUACGGGACUCUUUUACCUUCACAUCCUCACAGAUACGAUCUAAGGGCGUCAGGAUCCUCUCCGAGUCUUUUGGGUGAGGAUCCUAGAGAUCCGUGAAUCAUGUUCGUUCAUUGUACAUCGUACGGUCAGUUUUUGUCAAGUACAGUUUGUGUUUAAUUUUAAAUAAAAAUAUUUAAAAUAAUUUCCAACCACACGAUGUACGAUGAACGAACAUGAUUGAAGAAUCCUGGAAUUCUCACAAAGAGAAUCCAGGGAGAUCUAAGGCAUCUUUUCUGCUAAACUGAACGAUUACAAUUUUACUUUUCUUCAUGACCAAAAUAUCCAUAACAAAACAAUAAAAUGCCAAAAGUGAGUGGUACUCUGCAAAAUUUUACCAUGGAGCGGUGUGCAGAAUGUUUGGUUCAAUAAACGGUUAGAUUUUCAUUUGUGACGUUUGAUAGUCUCACAAUCUAAUCGUUCAAACACUCUAAACACUGUUGUAUUAUAGGGAGAAGCUUUGUGUUAUAUAAAACGCAAAACGACAGAAAAAAAAUAAAUAACUUUAAAGACAUGAAGUCCAAAGGCUGCAGACAGCUCCUACACUCUCUUACUUGAAAACUCUUCUUAAUGGAUAAUUGACAAACACUUGAUUCAACUGAGUUCAUCUUUAAACACCUCUCAACCUUCAAAUUCAUGAACUCACAUUAAUCUUCUAGCUUAAUCAGGUAUGGACCUCUCUAGAUGCCAACCGUUGUAAUAACUUCUAACAUCAUCUUUGGUGGAAUUGUUGCCAACACUUUCAAAAUCUUUAACAGGAUAUUUAACGGAACUAAUGAAAUGAGACAAAAUGGGACACAAAUAUAUGAUUUAGAGAGCAAAAUAUGUCAAAAUAACUUUGGGAAGGUAAAGUGGAAUCCGACAACACUAUCGGGGUACUGCAAUAGUUAAGCCUUGAAAUUAUUCUUUCAGUCAAUUGAUGAGUCCUGUACUUACAAGGAUGUUAAGUUUGCCAUCAAAGAGUGAUGAGACCUUGUUUAUAAGCUCCUCUCUUUGGGUCUUUGACACCACAUCGCAGACUGAGCCAGUGACUUGAAAACCCUUCUUCUCCCACUGACUCAGGCAGUCAUUAAGGUCAACUUCAUUUCGCGAACAAGUAUGCACAAUUGCACCUAGCCCUGCCAAUUCUUCCACUAUUGCAUACCUGUAUAAUUACAUUAUCAACUUCAAACAUGGAAUCGUAAAAUCUGAGGAAAAAAAUUGGAACACUUGUGCUUAAAUUUUUUUAGAAUUGGAGCUUAGUUCUUGAAUCAGACAUUUAUAGGUAUUGGUCUCUGAUCUUGUAGGCGGACAAAUGGUCUUUCUAAGUAACUUCCUUAUCACUUUUUGUCCUUCAUAUUGUCAUAAGUUUAGGAACCAAAAUUUAAAGAUCAAAGCUCCAAUUAGAGAAAUAAAGAGAAUAUUGCAUUGCAAGUAAAAGGAAAACUGAAAUAAAAAGAGAUUAAUGGUCUGAAGUAUCC
rnacentral:lncRNA from 1 species